rnacentral:lncRNA from 1 species
AAAAUAACAUACACUACAACAGAAUUAGAUUAUAGGGACCUAUGUUUGGGACACUUUUGUGUAAGUGUCCAAUUUAUGCCAAAACUUUAAAAAAAAAUUUACUAAUGUCUAAAUAUAAAGUCCAAUUCAACAAAAAAUAAAAGGUUACUCUACUCAACCCACCCCACCCAGUCCAUUCGGCCCGAUUACAAACAGAAAAGAAAAAAAAAAGAAAAAUCGAUUACCAUUUCCCCUUCUCCCCUUACUCAAUCGACUGAAAUUCUAGACGAGAUCCCUUCCUCUCAUCCUCCUCAGCCACCGCAGCCAACGAGGUAGAGUUCCGGCGGCUGCUAAAUGCUUAAAUAAAUAUUGGUAAAUUAGCAGCACUGUUUUAGGUUAUAGCGACACUCUUUAACUGUCACUAUAUACUUAGCGACCCUACAUAUAGCAACACUUUUUAAAAGUAUCGGUAAUUUAGCCAGCAACACUUUUUUUGACCGGUACCGAUAUUUAAAAGUGUCGCUAUAGAACAUUUUUGUUGUAGUGAUAGGUUUUGAUUGCACUUUUAUAUAAUUUUGUUAUACCUUGUACAACUCUAAAACACAAAAAAAAUCUAUUUUUUCUCUUCAGUAAUAAUAAUCCGGUAUGGGGAUUGAUGAAUAAAGUAAAUUUAUCUUUAGUUAUCAUUAUUAUUAUUUUCAUGCCAUAGAGUAAAAAGAAAUACUUUUUUUUUCCCUCUAUUUUCGUGCUUUACUAGAUUACAUGUAAUACAAGCAAUCAAAAGUAGGGGACCUAUUAAAUUAUAUAUGUGAUUAAGUUUCGAAAGCCUAUAUGCUAAAAUUUAAAAUUUAAAUGCCUAGUUACAAAAGUGCCAAAAUUUAGAGGGCCUACGUACAUAUUUACCUACAACUAAAUUUGGCAUUAGUGUGCACGUCCAAAAAAGUGGUGCACCUCAAUUCCCAUUGGCACAAGCUGUCGCAGCUAAUAUUUCUGCAUCUCGUGGGUCAUAAUAAAAAAAAAAAAUAUAUAACAAAUAAUUUAGGAUAUAUAAUAAUUGAGCAUAAACUAUUAUCAUUCCGUAUCUAGUCAAAUCAAAUCUAGCUAAUAAUGGCCUAGCUAAGACCCAUUAUGCCUCAUUAAUUAUUGUUAUUAAUUAAUUAAAACAAACACAUGCAUGCAUGUUAACGUGAAGAACCCUCGUCCGUACGUAGAAGAUUUUCUAAAGGCAUCUCGCGACCGUGUAAGCGCAAGAAAAUUAAGCUUAAUUUGAACUUGGAACUAUGCGUUUUGUAAAAAUUUAUGCAAUGAUUAAUGAAGUUCAAAUUUUGACUAUAUACAUCAAGAAGGAGAGAGACAUCCACAUGGUGUAAAAUGUGGAGUGAUUAAGCAAAGAAAGAAUAUCUAAGCUUAUGAUCAACUUAAAUAACAUGAUACCUUUGUGGGUAAUGAAUUAACUCAGAUAAAAUUUGUGAUCUAAUCCUAAUAUACCAAACAAAUUAAGCAGGUCGAAUUGUUUAGGUCCGUUUUGAUUCGGUUCACCUUCAUAGUUCAGUUUGUUUUAAUUAUCUUUUUUAAAGAGGAAUCAAAAAUCGAGACGGCCAAAUGCUCACUCUGUAAACAUAUAUAAAAUAUGUAAUUAAAGCUUAAUUAGUAUAUAGUUAAUUACUUAUGAUUAAUCCCAACACAAUAAUGACUUAUAAUGUGACUAUAUUAGCAUAUAACAUUGGAGGCUUUAUGAUUUCACAUUGAGAGCACAUGUGACACGAGGAGAGGACUUAGCUGAGACAUUAAAAUAUAUAUAUAUUGUUUCAUAUUAUAUAUAUAAAUAGUUUAUGAGAAUUCUUAAUUAAAUAAAUGUGAUUUGUGGCCUACAUGGGUUUUGUAUACACGAAUAAUUUGCACCUAAACCAUAAAUGCAUUGGACUAUUUACACCUAAGAAUAGAAAAGUUGGACAUGCUAAUAAAUACUCAUCACAAUUAAAUAUUUGUUAUAAUAACUAAUAAUUAAGAAGUUGUUAGGCUAGCAAUUUGGACGCUUAUAUAUCAUUCAGGGAAAAAGAAAAUAAAAAGAUGCUAUUUAUGUACGUACCUAUGAAUUAAGCUGCCAUCUAAUUAUGUGUCGUGCAUGCACCAAGUAUAUAUCUAAUUAACCGAGUAAAUGGGAAUUGUUCUUAAUAAGAUUUUGAUCACAAUGUAACCCAAAAAGGCUAUGACGUACUGAAUCGAAAAAUAAUAGAAAAGGUGCAUAAUCAAAUUUAGCCCAUAAACAUAAUGUGUGAGAAAUUCGACCCAGAUUAAUCACUUGGAAUUAAGGAAAGCUCGGGUUUUAGAAAUUACUUUAUUAUUAUGUUAUCUGAAAGAUCGAUCUGUUGAUAUGAAAAUGCCUAAAAAUAAUCCCAUUAUAUGUACAGUACGUGUGAUGGAAGAAGAUGAUCCUCUUCAUGAAUAUGAUGGAAAAGUCGAUUCAAAUGUGUACAUUAAAAGGUUACAAUAUUGUUCAUCUUUUGAAGACAUUAACCUAAAUAUUAAUCACUAAUCUAGGAAACUCUAAUGUUAAAGGUCGAUCCGACCAAAAUUAAAUUAUGCACGUACAAAUUAUGUUAACAUAUACAUACAUCAUGAUUCACACGCAAUAACUUUAUAGCAUUGAAUAAAUAAUAUUACAUUAUUAAUUACUACACAAGGACAGGUUAUGUUAGUUAGUGGCGAACAACUAAUUCUAGAGCUACUGUUAUUAAAAUUAAUGAGAAACCUGAAAAAGCUUAAUCUCAACUGCUGAUCAAUUUAUUAAUUUAUACUAUAAUUUUUUAUUUUUUUUUUGAGAAAAAGGUAGCACGCUACCCGCUUCAUUCACUCAGGAUAUGAACUUAGCUACAUGGGUGAGGCAACAAGGCCUCUAAAGAGAUGACAAGCCGAACAAAGACGAAAAUAAUAAUAAUAAUAAUAAUAAUAAUAAUAAUAUAAAAGAAAAAAUCAGUGUUUCUCCAUAGGGCGAAGUUUCCCCCACAAGGACGUCAGCUGUUUAACCUUAUAGCAACCACGGAUUGGAUCAGUCUGAUUCCUCCUAAAGAUCACACCAUUCCUGGUCUCCCAAAUAACCUACCAACAGGCAAUUAGUCCAGGUAAACCAUCACUCAUGGACUGAGACCCCAUCCUUCCACUCCGUCUGUCCCAAACCAUAUGCACAUCUUCGGCCAAAUCUCCUGCUUGGACAUCCUCCAAUGACAUCAUCAUAAGAAAUUUGAAGAAUACACAUUGAGAAAAAAGGUGGUCUACUGUUUCCAUAUCAGACCCACACAGCACACAAUUCGUGUUGCCUAUCUAUCCUUUUUUUAAUAAAUUAUCUACAGUAAGAGGUCUCUUCUUGAGGACGAGCCAGCAGAACACUUUAACUUUUAAUGGUAUGCAGAGCUUCCAAAUUUUGCAGGUCCAUCCAUCCCUCGUCCCCCCGUCACACAUUGCCGAAUACGUUGACUUCACAGUAAAACGCUCGUCAGGGCUCCACUGCCAAUGCACACUGUUCGGUCCCAGUCCAGGUUUGAAGGAGGAAAACCGUGCCUUGAGGGCCGAGAUGCAUGCAGUCAUCCUGUGGUCACUAGUGCUGGUGCUACUUAGAAUCUUGUCUCAGCACUAGCCGUUACUAUUUGAGUAUUCACUGAUUUUCAAACUUUUACGAGUCGAUGACCGGAACACCUCAGGAAAAGUCGAAGAGAGAGUGGUUUCCCCACACCAUCGAUUUGACCAAAAGUUGAUAAUACGCCCAUUGCCCAACUUGUAGCAGACUCCCCAGUUGAAUAUAUCUUUUUGACUUAGAACGCCCUUCCACCAAAAGGAGGAUGGUCGAAAGCACCCGCCCUCUUUUAGUGGUCUUCUUCUAAGAUAGAACAGCUCACGAAUUAUCUUGUUCCAUUGCAACUGAGGCGCCGUAAGAAAUUUCCACCACCAUUUGGCGAGGAGGGACAGGGCGGCUUGCGUCAGCGGCGCUCCCCGCGACGACGACGUGGCUCGUGACGGCGGCGAUGGCGAAGUCAGCGUACGACAGUCGGCGAUGGAUUCCAAUGGGCAGAAAUAGCGUGACAUUCGAGAAAGGAUUUCGUGGGGUGCGUCGGUGCGGGACAGUGAUCGAGGAUGCUGCAUCGGAUUUGGAGGGUUACACGAGAAGGGGAGGGGCUAAGAUGAAAAUGAAGGAAGGCUACCACUCCACUUUCCUAUCUACUAUUGCCUCAUUUAAGAGGAUGGGAGGGUGCAUUAAUUUGCUGCCAGGUUCGGUGUCUCGGGAGGAGAUCCAUAGGAGGAAUGAUUGGCUAGUGGGGGCGGGACCCGAGGACUUGAAUAGGGUGGGUCAACUUUUGGGACCACCUUCACAAAUGGUGCAAGAUGCCAUGUUGACCAUCCAUUUAAUAGCAUUUAUGGGUAGCCAUGUACUGUUGGAUGUGGGGGGGUGUGUUUCCAAUAUCUUGCUUCGGGUACACGUGGGACCGCUUGGUUUUCCUUGGGAUUGGAGGCUUGUAAUGGGUUCGGGUGGUGUUGUGUCGAUACGAGGUGGGCCGGGUGCAGGCCAUUCAUCUCCUGAUCCAAGCACCGGACUCCAGUUUUGGACCGUGAUGGCGGGAGGGGAGCACGAAGACGUUACCUGUAGCGAAAUGAGCUCUUCUAAAGCUGGUAUGGGGUAACUAAUUGGGGCCAUGUGUCUUGCAAGCCUAUUUCAGAUGGGUGCGAGCCUAUUUCAGAUGGGUAUGUGUAAUACACUGAACUUUUACAAAAUUACGGAGUUCGAGUGUGUGGAAUGAGUUGUGGAACUAUCCUACAUGUUCUACAAGGCUUGGACAAGUUUUUGGACAAGUUAGAGAGUGAUUGGAAAGCUAAAUGCAAGAAAGUGUAUUGAUCUGGCGAAAUUAGCAGUUUUCUGCUUGGUGUACCGGUACAGCCAUUAUGGUGUACCGGUACACAAUGGGAAAACGUGGCAGCAAGGGUCUUUUGGUCAUUUCACAUCUUGUUCCUAUCCUUUUGAACCCAGCACGACCUGGGAUGCUCAGAGGAGGUUGCUAGAGUUCUGAGAAGACUUCUUUUACCUUCUUCUCUCUCUCUCUCUAGGAAUUCUGUCUCUCUAGAUAAAAGUCGCCGUUUGCGUCGUUUUCGUCGCCUCGCUCGAUCUUCGCUGGUUGUGGGUGUCACAGAGUUCACGUGGACGUGUGAGAGAGUAUUUUGGAGAGCUUUUCGCAGCUCUGAACCAGUGAAGUGCUGGUUAGAAGCUUGAGAAAGUAAUCGACUCGAUUUUCUCCAUUAUCAACGUUCUAUUAGUCGAUUUAAGUGUUGCUUUUGCGUUUUUGCUUCCAACUGACUUAAACUGAGAUUUCAGCUGUUAAAUAUGAGUUAGUUAGCUGUGAAUUAACCAUCUUAGACCAGGGAUAAGCUACUUUGAAGUUUAAUUAGAAUAAUUAGCCAUUUAUGAAGCUAAAUUGGAACAAAAUGCAAUUGUUUGAGCGAAUUGAUGCAAAUUGGGGAUUAUUUCUGCGCAGCAGGUCUUCGAGCUUCGUUGAGCUGAAUUUGUACUCUUAGAAGCUGGUUUGGAAGCUGCUCUAACCCAGGGUAAGCAGGAACUUCCGUUAGAAAUUCAAUUUCGCAAGAAUUGAACUAUAUAAGCUCAUAUACAAGCAUUUUGACGCCGUUUCGGUAUUGUUCACAGCGAGAGGAUAUUUGACCUUUGGGCCACCUUCGUUUGGCAGUGGAGGGCCUUCCGGAAGCUAAACGUGAGGUAAUGAACUGAGCCAAAACAGGAAAUUAAGCUUCCACUUUGUAUUAAUUGAGAAUUUGUCGAAAUUGGAUUCUUAUGUAAUCGCUUCGAUGCGCAUUUCGUGCUUCGUUUGCAGCAGGGCUGAGGCCUAGUGGAACUGAAUUACGGACUUUUGGGGACUGAUUUGGAGCCUAGUACUAGGUGGGUUUGACCUAACCAGAGCAAGUGAAGCUCCCCUAUGUUUUACAUGUACCAUAGAGUUGGUAUAGUUAUGCGUGAUUGUGAGUAAUGUGAUUAGUAAAGUACGCGCAUCAUGUUGCCAUAAUGUUGAUAUAAUUGAAAUAGAAUCUCUAUGAAGUAGAGAAUCCUCAUGCACAAAAGUAUUCAUACUCCUGUUUAGUUUAGUUGAAUAACUAUGAGACAAGUUAUUAUGCUCAUGAAAAGUAGAGAACCAUGACAUUCUCUUUUUACUUGCUUGAGUACAAAGUAGAGAACAAUGACAUUCUUUUGGACUCUAAAGUAGAGAACCAUGACAUGCUUUGGGACUAUAUUGGUAGUGCCAUGAUAGUGAAAAGAUUCUAAUGCCAGGUGUAAAUUAGCAUUACCCUUGCAUGCUUACUAAACUAGUGGAUUUUAGUUGUUGUUAAUAUUUGUUAUAUUGAAAUUCCGAUCGAGGAUCGAGACUGAGAACAUUGCAAAUGAAAAUAUGAUAAUUGAGACAUGUGGACAGUGGAAUAUGCUUGCUUGCCAUCGUGCUCAUUCGCACACGCUUGUGAGGGUAGCUCCCUACAAGCCGGCACUCCGGAGUUGGCCUACGCGACAGUUGCUCGCCCGUGUGGGAUUGGGUGCCGAAGUGGAUUGCCGUGGGGAGUGUAUACUACCACGGGGCCAUUAGGCGCGGCGCAAGCUGGACUACCUUGAGUAGAUCCCUGUGAAUGAAAGGAAAGUGCUAAAGGAAAUUGGACAGUAAUGAAUGAUUACCAGUUACAGUGUAUAGUAGUUACUUACACAUUUAUGCUUAUGUUCAUGCUUAUCAUAGUUGCUAUGCUUCUAUUAUUCAGUUGAUUCAUUACUGUUGAAACCAUGAUUACAUGUUGCUUACAUGCUCAUUACCUGUUAGCAUUGCAUAAUUAUAUAUCAUGCAAUUACUGAUUUCGCUUUCAUUUAGUACAUCAUGAGCCUAGUGGUGUAAUUCGCCGAGACUGGCGGCUUACCCACUGGGAACUAUUGUUAAUAGUUCUCACGCCCCUUUUUGUGGUUGUUUUUACAGAGCCAUCUACAGGAGAGGCUAGGGAUCGUGGCAAGGGAGUCGCGUCUAGCUAGACAUUGCUAGGAGCAUGCUAGUCGAUCACCUUGCUACUCGGGCUACGGCCGAGGGUGAUGUCCCUAUGUAUAGAGCGACCACCAUUGUACCUAUUCUUUUGUAUACCCCGUGAUGUAUAUGUACUUUAUGGACAGUCACUAUGGUUUCACUAUGGUUAUGAUACUUUCUCUUUUAGUCGAGAUUUUGAAUUGUACACUCUUUGUUCUUUUGCUGAUAGUAUAUUAACUUGUACUUUGCUCUGAUAUCAGGAUAGGAUUAUACUAUGCUUCUUCCUAUCGACUUGCUUCUUGUAGACGCCUUAUAUACUGCAGGUGUAUGGCGGGUCUGUGCACGUACCGGAUAUGCUUCCGCGGGUACCCGGGCGUGACAGUAUGGCGAAUUCUCCACUGAGUUAGAUUUGGUGGAGGGAGCGAGGUCGGAGGUUUGGGACGAGGCUCGGGUCCCUUAAAUGAAGACAAUUACCCUGAUUCGAGCCAGUGCGCGUCUUGCGAGUACCGACAAGAUCUCAAUUGUUACCAAGGCGCUAAACAAAAAGAUGCGACAGCGAGAAAGGGGGGCGGUGCUGUUUCUGAUUCUACACUAAAGAAAAUCGUCCACAAGGGUCGUUGCUGUGCGGUGAUCCUGAACGAUGCUGAGGCGAUGGGACUCGUUGGGUUCGCGAAGAAAUGAGCACGUCGCGGACAUGUACACAGGAUAGUAGACACUUUUUGGCUUUUUUUGGGAUGUGGUGUCUAUUAUGUUUUGUUGAUUAGGGUCUGUAGUUGGAAUGUUAGAGGGCUUAACGACCCUUCUAAACGUUUUGUGGUACGAGAUGUAAUCUCUACAAUUCGAAAUGCUGUCGUGUGCAUUCAAGAAUCUAGAGUUGGGACAUCUCGGGGUCUUUCCUACGUAGUUUUGUUGGGUCCUUUCUUGACAAAUGUGUUUUUGUUGAAUCAAAUGGCGCAUCCGGAGGACUGAUCACUUGUUGGAGCUCUCGCAUCUUUUCCUGCAGUGAAGUGUUAGUGAGGCGCGAUUCCAUCACAGUCCACCUGACCCUAAUCAACUAUGGAACACGUUUCUUUGUUACGAAUGUCAAUGGACCAGCUUCUUGGGAUGGCAAGGAGGAUUUCUACACGGAGUUACGGCUGUUGAAGGACUACUGUAAAGGAAAAUGGAUUUCGUGUGGAGACUUUAACAGCACUAGGAGUCAGAAGGAGCGAAAGGGAAAGACUUGGAGCUCCAGAGCGACUGAUUUGUUCAACACCCUCAUUAAGGAGCUCGAGUUAAUUGAUCUUUCUAUGGCCAACCAAUCUUUUACUUGGUCUAACUUACAGAGCAACCCUACCCUUGCUAGACUCGAUCGGUUCCUUGUAUCGACUGAAUGGGAGUUGGAAUUUCCCCUUUCUAAGGUGGUCUGUCUUCCCAGAUUUGUCUUGGACCACUGCCCCAUACUCCUCUCAGUUGAGAAAAAGGUACCGAGGUCUAAGACAGGCUUUUGGUUUGAGGCAGCUUGGUUAAAUCACGAAGACUUGGUUUCCAAACUGCCUAGUUGGUGGCAAGAGGGGUGUACGCAGAACUCGGCCAUUCUUACGUUCACGGCAAAAUUCAGACACUGCCGUAGAAUAAUUAAAGAGUGGUGUGCUACUGAAUUCUAUUGUAUUACAGGAGUUUAGAAGAAACUUAUGGAGGAAAUCCAGGAAAUCGACAUACAGGAAAAAAUGUGCCAUAUUUCACAGGGAAUAGCCAAUAAGAAGGAGGAACUUAAGGACCAACUACUCAGGGUAUUUAAAGAUGAGGAAGCAUUGUGGGGAACCUGAGCAAAACAGCAUUGGCUACGGGAGGGCGACAAUAACACCAAAUUCUUUCAUGCUGUAGCCAAUGGCCGGAGGAGAACAAACAGAAUUGACGUGAUCGAAGAGAGUGGGACGGUGUAUCAUUCUGAAGAGGAUAAACAGAAUGUCUUAUUUCAAAAUUUUAAAAAGCUUUACUCACCGGAUGAGUUGGCUCCAUCAUCAUUCGGGAACUGGAGUGAGCUUUUCAGGACGGCGCGGGUUAGCCCUACCGAUCGUGUGCAUUUAACGAGGCCUUUCACUCUUGAUGAAGUUAAACAAGCAGUUUUUCAGCUUGGGAGUGAUAAGGCGCCGGGACCGGAUGGAUUCCCGUUGUGCUUCUACCAAACAUUACACCCUAAAGGGUGAUAUCUUGAACAUUUUUCAAGAAUUGUUCGAGGGGACGCUAGACACCAACCCUAUUGAUUAUACUUACAUUUGUUUAAUUCCGAAGAAGGACGGAGCUAAACGGGCAGAUGAUUAUCAACCUAUAAGCCUGCUGAACGGAAUUCAGAAGAUCCUAUCCAAGGUUUUAGCCAAUCGAUUGGAGAUGGUUAUGGGAGAUCUGAUAUCCCCCACCCAAUCGGCUUUCUUGAAGGGAAGAAAUAUCACUGAUGCUUUCGCAACGGUUCGUGAGCUGAUCGGCUGGGGGAGUAAGCAGGAAGCUGAGGGAGUCGGGGUAAAAGUAGAUUUUGAGAAGGCAUACGACAGAAUUUACUGGCCGUUUCUUCUUCGCAUUUUAGACUGGUAGGGCUUCGAUGAUAAAUGGUGCAACUGGAUCAAACUUUGUGUGUCCAACGCUAAGGUCGCUGUUUUAGUUAAUGGCGUACCAACCAAGUGGAUAAAGACAAAGAGGGGGGUUCGGCAAGGCGACCCACUCUCUCCCUUCAUCUUUUUACUCGUAGCAGAGUGUCUGGCCUGACUGACAAAAGAGGCAAUCUCCAACAAUCUUAUUAACGACAUUGGCCAUUCUGAGGCAUCCAGGGUUUCCAUUAUCCAAUUCGCCGAUGACACUUUUUUCUUCUGUGUGGCCAAGAAGAGAUGCAUGCGAAAUCUGAAAUUUCUAUGGCAACUUUUCGAGUGGGCAUCCGGAAUGAAGGUCAACAAGGAGAAAUCGGAACUAUACUAUACUGGUCUGGUGGAAGGAAAAGCGAGUAGGCUGGCACACAUACUAGGUUGUAAACUCGGUAACUUACCCACCAGAUAUUUAGGCCUGCCGUUGGCAACAAGACCCCCGUCCAAGGAGACUUGGAGGGAAAUCAUCCACAAGGUUCAACGUAGAAUUGACGAUUGGCAAGCAAAACUUCUAUCACGAAGGGGUAGACUUAUCCUAAUAAACACCGUUCUCACUAAUCUACCUCUUUAUUUUCUUGCUGUGUUCAAGACACCCAAAUGGGUUAUCAAACGCAUUGAGGCUCUGCAUAGAGAUUUCUUCUGGAGGGGAGGAUCCACUUCACCCGGUAAGGGAUGUCUUAUUUCCUGGAAGAGCGUCUGCAGGAGCAAGAAAGAGGAGGCCUUGGUGUCCUUGAUUUAAUUUAUACUAUAAUUUGAGAUUGCUUUUGGUCAUUCGUGUCAUAAUUUGCUACUCUUUUCAUCUUUAACCUAAGAAAAACUCACAUGUUAUGGGUCUUUCUAUAUUUCUUUUUAUGUUAUUUCACCUACAUCUACUAGAUCUCAUCCUAAGACGUAAUUAACACAUUGAUCCCUCAUUCUCCAACCAAAUUAAGGUGUUACAUGCCGAUACCAAAUUAAAAAGCUAAUUUUUAAACACAUUUUUUAGAACAUUCGUUUCAAAUCAGAAAAGAUUAUUUCAGGAACUAGGUGUACCACAUCUUAAUAUAACUAUCAUGAGGGCUUAAAAAAUAAAAUCUAAUUUAUAAAAUUUAUUCUGUAAUAUUUUCUUUUCGUUAUUUCCAAAUUAAAAUAAAACUUAUCAAUAUACAUAUAUAAUACAAAAGGAAUUUAUAUAUAAAACCUACAAAUUUUGAAAGUCCAUUGCCUUGACAAUAGAUAUUUUGAAAAAUCCCCACCAUAUACAAUUAAUAUAAUUUGGUUCACAAGAAAUAUGUGUUCAAAAUUUAUAAUUUCAUAUGAACAAAUAUAUUUACUAAAUUAAUUUUAAUUUUAAGAUCUAACUAAUAGAAAUUUUAAAAAUAUGGUGAAUAAAAUAAAUAAAUACACCUGGUGUAACGAUAAUUAUUGUACUUAAAAAAAUUGUCUUUCUCAAAGAUGAUGAUGGUUUUUAAAAUUUCAAAACAUAUGCAUGCAUUGGUAGCGUUUGGUUCGAGUAUAAGUAAGAACUAGCUAUUACAGGGAUGGGUACAAGUAUGGGGAUAAAAAAAAUAGUGUUUGGAUGAAAAUUGAGUUAUUUUCGGGGAUAAGAAAAAUAACGUGUGGAUAGAUAAUAUGGAAUAAGAAAAAUAGUCGAUAGUUAUAUAUAGAAAAUGGAGGUGUUGGUGGGGAUAGUUAUAUCCGGUUAUUAUAGGUAAUCGAGAACUACUAUUUUCAGAUAAAAAAUUAGCGUUUGGGUAUAAAGGAGAGGUUAUUCCGCCCCUUAUCCCCAAUCCAAACUGUGCGGGUGGAAUAAGAACAAAUUAAGCAUUAUCCUUGUACUAUAUAUUAAUCCAACUUAGUGGGCAUAGUGACAAGCCACUACCUGCCAAUCCAACUUUCACUAAUCUAAAGAAAAUAAUGUCAAUAUUUUCAUUUACGCGUACGAUAGAGAUGUGAUAGUUAUACAUCUCAAAAUGAGGUGUAUAAUAUAUACCAUAGUUAGUUAAUUCGGAUUCGGCAAAAAUUCGGUACGGGUAUAAUUCGGAUAAAAUUCGUCUUUUAAUUUUUAAAUUCGUUAAAAAAUACGGCUAAAAAACGGAUUCGGUAAUUAUUCGGAUACGUGAUUUAUACGGGUAUUAUACGUUCAUCAAUUAAAAAUUCGGGAUCAAAAAUUCGGCUAUAUUUUAAAUAUAUAAUAAUUAAUAUACUAUAUAUAUUAUUAUUAUAAUUUUAUAAUAUAAAUUAAAUAUAUUCAUAUAUUAAUAAUAAAUAUAUAUUAAUAAUAUAUAAGAUUUAUAUANCACUGUGGACCUCCCCUCAUGCGGUCCACGAGGUGGAAAUGGCCUCGUGGACCGCGUGCACCAUCCAUGUCUUAUGAGCCCCGAUUUUUUUCCUGUUCAUCUUCUUUUUUUCUGCCGAGGCGAGACGGGAUCCGCAGCGUUGCUCUCGGCACCGGCGAGGGCGGCGGAGGACGACGACGACGUGAGCGGCGACGAGACAGGAUCCGCAGCCGUGGCCCUUGCUCCCGGCGCCGGCGAGGGCGGCGGAGGACGACGACGACGCGAGCGGCGACGACGCGACCCUCAGCCGAUCGCCGAUUUUUUGGGCGAAUUAUUCGCGAAUCGCGAAUAAUUCGCGAAUAAUUAUUUUUGAGGAAAAAAUCGCGUUUUUUUUCUAAUUUUUUGAAAAAAUACGGUACGCCCCGUUUAAUUCGUAUUUUUAAAAGUACGCAAAUUAUUCGCGUAUUAAUCGCGAAUUAACUAACUAGGAUAUAUACCCACUUAUUUAAUGGAUGAGACUACAUAUUUGAAGAUUUUAUGUGACAGGUGAAAAAAGCUCACUCAUUAGAUUAGAGAGGAAUACAAUAUAAAUUUCUUAUGGAAGUAUAUGAGUAGUAUUGCUCGUGAAUAAAAUGUGACUAGCUAAUCGGAUGAUUUUUAAAAUUUUAAAAAUAUAUUUUUGUAAUGAUGUAGGAUGAAAAUUAUAUUCUUCUGUGAUUUUCUAAAUUUGACAAUAAGUACAGCAGCAUUUCCCUUGCACUUAUAUAUUAAUCCAACUUAUUGGGAAUAGUGACAAGCUACUACCUACAGCAUCAAGUCAUUUUACUUUUUCACACUCCUAAAUCCUAGUUUUAUUAUCCUAAUUAAUAAUCAUUUAAACGAUAUUAUUGAUUUGCUACUUAAUUAGGCCCCCCCCGUAUUUUGAUUGUACGGGAAAUACGGCGACAGCUACGAGACGUGAUGCAUUCAGCCGGUUCCGAGCGGUCGCAUAGUUGCUCGUCGCGAUGCGACUUCGCUCAUUUCCUGCAAUAUUAUCCGGUGCACCCAGUGCAUCCUAAUAUAUAUAUAUAUAUAUAUAUAUAUAAUUUGACUAGAAAUAACUUCUCAAUAGUAAAUGGCAUUUACUAACAUCGAGUUGUUUUCAUGAAGACUUACCAAAUGACCGAUUAGCGUCUCCGUUGAACUAUACGAUCUAUACCACUUAAAUUGUUUAGAAUACAAAUUUUCAAAUCAUUUCACAUCAUUCCUAAGAUCAAAGGGUUCAAAAUUUAUAUUUUAAUAGGCAGAUAAGAGACGUUUUCUUCGUUUAACCGUGAAAGAUAUCCAAAAUCAAUUGAAUUUCUUUUAGAAAAUUCUUUAAACUAUUUAAAACAAGAUCUAUAACCUUGAUCUUGAUUAAAUCCUAUCAUCAUUAUUUAAAGAUAUUCCAUUUUCAACCAUUCAAUUUUCUUUCACUAAGAUGUAACAGACAAUACGGAAGUUGCAUGACAAUUUAUUCUAGAUAGUUUAAAUGGUUUAGAAUUAUAUUUAACGAGCAAGAUGUAAUUUAGAACUCUAAUCCAUCCAAAACAACUCGAUAGUAAAAUCUACCUUACAUCGAAGUUAAUUUAGCUCAACUCUAUGGGCGUUUUCGUUAGAAUCCGAGUCGAAUCGAUCGUAAUCAUAAAUCAAGAUAAGCUGGAAUCGGGAAUCGAAUACUCAUCUACUCUAAUUAAUGUUUGUUCAACACACUGAAUCGAAUAUCGAAAUAAAUCAUUCCCAUUCAGUAUUUGUGCAGUUUAUAUAAAAAACUAAUCAAUUAAUAUACUAGCAUUACUUUAUAAUUAGUUAAUUUAAAUCACAAUUAAAAAUUAAUAUUAAAAAUUAUACUAAAAUUUUGAAAUUAAUGUUCAAAAUUUACACCUCUAAUUUUUUUUUAAAAAAAAUAUAACUUGAUUGAGUGAUAAUCAAAAUAUGAAACUAAUAUUUUAAUUAUCUUUCACAUCAAACUUAAAAUACAAUUUAAAAUUUAAUUUAAUCCAAAAUUUAAUUUAAUUUAUAUAAUUGAAUAAAAACUUAAAUAUAAAUUAAAUUUAUUUAAAUUCAAAUUCAUAAGUUAGAUUCGAAUACUUAUUAAAUUUUAAUUUUUAAAUUAGGUUUAAAUAAAAUUUCAAAAUUAUAUAUUUAAUUAUUUAAAUUUAACUCAUAUUUUAUUAAAAAAUUAAAAAAAAUAAAAUUUAAUACCGAAUAAAUAUUCAUUUCCGUUUCGAUCAACUUCAAUCCGGCCUCCUCAGGCCGGAAUUGAAAAAUGAGUGAUUGUGGGAUCCAAUUUCACUCGGAAAUCGAAUCCGGAAAUGGGGGAACCCCUUUCCCGCGACAACAAACACCCACAAAAGGAUUCACCAUCAUUCCGAUUUCGAUUCCAGGGUGAAAAAAAAACGAACACAAACACGCCAUAUAAUAUAUUAUAUAUAUAUAUAAUAUAUAUAUAUUAAGCGGAAUAAAAUGGAUAUUGUUAUACAUACGUACGAAUAAACAUGGUGCAUGUAAUAAUUUCUCUCGUCACAUGCCACUGUUCACCACAUGCCUUACGUACGUACAAUUAUUAUCGGUACGUACAAUUAUUAUCGUGUGAACUCUUCCCCAGUCCCCCCCUGUCCUCUCCACACGACCCGCGUGGGAUCGACCUCUCCUCCCCCCCAACUCCAACAACCACCACCUCUUCCCUCACUAUAUAUACUCCUCCUCCUCACCACCCUUCCCUCCCACACUCAAAAACCUAUAUAUAUAUAACGUUCUAACCCUUCCUAUAUAUUAUAUACAUAUUCAUAUACAUACAACAUCUGCAUUUGUAACAUUAUAAUCAACGUACACUAAUACACACGCACAUUGAAUUAAAAUAUGGGUAGCCUCCACACCGACGUCGUGCUCGAAGCGAACAACAACAACGGUGCGUUCGGCGCAAACAACCCUCUGGAGCCGGAGGAGUUCCGGCGACAGGCGCACGUGAUGGUGGACUUCCUGGCCGACUACUACCGCGACGUGGGGUCGUACCCGGUGCGCAGCCAGGUGGAGCCCGGGUACCUGAGCAAGGUCCUGCCCGGGUCGGCCCCCAACCAGCCGGAGUCGCUGGACGCCAUCCUGCGGGACGUCCGCGAGCACAUCGUCCCGGGGCUCACGCACUGGCAGAGCCCCAGCUACUUCGCCUACUUCCCCUCCAGCGGCAGCACCGCCGGGUUCCUCGGCGAGAUGCUCAGCACGGGCUUCAACGUCGUCGGCUUCAACUGGAUGUCGUCGCCCGCCGCCACCGAGCUCGAGAGCAUCGUCAUGGACUGGCUCGGCGGCAUGCUCGCCCUCCCCAGGCCCUUCCUCUUCUCCGGCGGCGGCGGCGGGGUCCUGCAGGGCACCACCUGCGAGGCCAUCCUCUGCACGCUCACCGCCGCCCGGGACCGGAUGCUGGGCAGGGUCGGACGGGAGCACAUCGGGAGGCUCGUCGUCUACGGCUCCGACCAGACCCACUGCGCGCUGCAGAAGGCGGCCCAGAUCGCCGGCAUCCACCCGGCGAACUUCCGCGCGGUGAAGACGCGCCGGGAGGACCACUUCGGGCUGUCGCCCGCGGAGCUGCGCAGGGCCGCGGACGCCGACGAGGCCGCGGGGCUGAUCCCGCUGUUCCUGUGCGCGACGGUCGGGACGACGUCGUCGACGGCGGUGGACCCGCUCCCGGGGCUCUGCGCGGCGGCGGCGGAGAAGGGGAUGUGGGUGCACGUCGACGCGGCCUACGCGGGGAGCGCGUGCAUCUGCCCCGAGUUCCGGGGGUUCAUCGACGGCGUGGAGGGCGCCGACUCGUUCAGCCUCAACGCGCACAAGUGGUUCUUCACGACCCUCGACUGCUGCUGCCUCUGGGUGAAGCGCCCCGACGCGCUGGUCCGAGCGCUGUCGACCAACCCCGAGUACCUGCGCAACAAGGCCACGGAGUCCAGGAGCGUCGUCGACUACAAGGACUGGCAGAUCGCGCUGAGCCGCCGCUUCCGCGCGCUGAAGCUGUGGAUGGUGCUGCGCAGCUACGGCGUCGCCAACCUCCGCAACUUCCUGCGCGGCCACGUCCGGAUGGCCAAGGACUUCGAGGCCAUGGUCGCCGCCGACGCCCGCUUCGAAGUCGUCGUGCCCAGGUACUUCGCGAUGGUCUGCUUCCGCCUCCUCCUCCCCUCGCCCAACGCCGCCGGCGAUGAGACGGCGGCGAACGAGCUCAACCGGAGGCUGCUGGAGGCGGCGAACGCGUCGGGGAGGGUGUACAUGACGCACGCCGUCGUCGGAGGGGUCUACCUCAUACGCUUCGCCGUCGGCGCCACGCUGACGGAGGAGUGGCACGUGCGGGCGGCGUGGAAGGUUGUGGUGGAGCACGCGGAGGAGCUGCUCAAGGAGCUCUGCGUAUGAAUGAAUAUAUAUGAUGCGAUCCAUCCAACAAUUAAGCCACGUGCAUGCAUGCACGCAUUUCGCACACUUAUGAAUGAGCUUGGUAAAUAAUUUGUUGUUUUUCUUAUUAUUAAUUAGUUAUUAUUUGCGCAGGUAAUUUUGGGGUUGUGAUCACAUGUUGGUGGUUCGUUUGGGAGAGGGUGCAUGAGAGUUCCAGGUUUUGAGAUUUUUUCUUUUUUUUUUUCGAUUGUGUGUGCCAAGCUAGUUGAUGUCUACAGUUAAUACAUGAUUCAUUUAUGUAAUGAAUUAAGUUAUCAAUCAAAUAUUCUGGAUCAUUUAGUAAGGUAAAAAUAAUUGCUAUUUUUACAAGCAAUUUCUACAAUAAUUUAUAACAUUUAAAAUGUAGUGCCCUUAGACUUUAUUCUGUAAUUUUCUUUACUAAUUAAAUAUGAUCAGAUAAGAAAAUCAUUUCAAGCCUUUUAGAUGUUUGCUACAAAUUUUAUUAUAACUAAGCCAUUUAAAUAGUUGUUCGGAAUUUUAUAGACGUUGCUUUGCACGAGAAAGUCUUUUCAAUCACAAUAUUUCUCACACGCGCUACAUAAAAACACAAACAACUUGUUUUUAAAAUAAAUUAUUUUGAUAUAAAAUUAUUAUACUAUUAUUGCUGAUUACAUUUUCUUCUAUCUUAUGUGUUGUAAUGUGGAAGAUUUUUGUGUUCCGGACACCUGCUGGUUUAACCUUUCAUCUGAAAUACUAACCACUCUAAAACAAUGCUAAUUUGGGGCCGUUGGCCUAAUUGAGAAGCGUAUUCAACAUUAAUUAUUAAUUAAUUCAUAUGAUAUGCCUUUUCUGGAAAGAUGUGUAUAUUAAUUUUGAAUUCUCUCGAUCAUUAGAUAAAUAAUAUUAAAAAGUUAUAGAAUUUAAUUUUUUAUUGAUAUUGAAGCCCUGUCACCAAAAAUAUAUAAUGAGUCCCCUCGCAAGCACCCAUCACUUAGCACCAAUAAUACAUUCGUUAUCGACCGUUUCUAGCGCAAGUAGCAAAAAGUCUUGGUGGUUUGUACUCGAGAUCCAAGUUCGAAUUCUAGUUGAUUCACAUUUUCAAUUAAAUUUAUUUUUAAAUAAAAUAAACGAAGCGAGUAGCAUGCUAUCUUUCUCUCAAAAUAAUAAUAAUAAUAAUACAUUCGUUGGAUCUGUUCCAUUGGCCCCAAAUAUUAUAUUACGUUUAUUACUAGAAUUACUUCUAGUAAUAAUUAACUAGCCUUACAUACUUGUGCUGUGUAAAUGGAUUAUUCAUCCAAUGUGGAUCUAAAUUGGGGUGUCACAUUAAUAUUUCCAAAUUACCCUAAACUAAGAUGUGUUAGCUAUAUAUAGGUUGAACCACUGCGAAGUAGUAGUCAUCUUACAAUGUGAUACUUAACUAGAAACCGAAAAGAGUAGGGAUCGAUGCAAAUAUGGUAGAUCUGAGAGUGAGCCCACCUCCUGCCCUACCAAUAUUGAAUCUGCUCCUACCAAUAUUGAAUCUGCUCGAAUCUGCCCGCAUCCCGCUCCGCCUCUAUAACGGCGUGAAAUAUAGAGUUCGACUACGUACUAUCCUUUUAAGAAGAUAGAAAUUUUUAUCCUAUCAGACCAUUUUGGAUGAUCGAGACUUCAAAUUGAUAAUCGGCAUCAUUUAAAUUGAUCUAUACUAUUAGAAAUAUUUAGAAACUGAAUUUUAUAAUUUUUAAAAAUUAUUAUCAAGUCCAUCGAAUAAUCAAAAAAUAAACGGUCAAAAAUAGAUCAUCUUCUGAAAAUAGAGGUUAGCCUUUCUUAAUUUAAGAUCGGAGUUAUUAAACAUUAUCUAAAUAGUAUAAAGACUUUCUAUCAAAAAUUUUAUUGGUUUAGAUUACUCAACAUCGUUAAACAAACAAACGACUCAUAUAGGUCGUCAAGAACUAUCAAUUUUUCAAUCCAUUGAUCACAUAUAUAAAUAAAUUUUAAAAUUUAUAAAAUUUAGUUCUUAGAUAAUUCAAAAAUACUAGAUCAACUUCAACGGUCCCAUCAUCGAUUUAGAAUUUUGUCAUAAAGAACGUUUUGAUAGGACAGAUGUCCCUAUCCUCCUAAAAGGAUGACAGCUGGGUUCUGAAAUAUUUGUCUCAUAAUCCAUCCCGACUAAAGUUCGACUUCUAGCCAGCUCCUCGAAAUCACUCAGCCAACCAAAAAUUUUAUUUAUUUUUUAAAUAUAAAUAAAAUAAAUUAAAAUAAAAUUUAAAGAUAACAAAUUAAAUUAUCAUGGAAACAACUCUCUCUUAAAUCAAAUAUAUUUUAAAAUGAAUUAACAUUUAAAACUUAAAUAAUAUUUAUAAAGUUAAAAUUAUUUUAUAAAUUAAAUAAUAUUUAUAAAAUAUUAUUUAAUUUAUUGGUGCCCAUUUACAUUCUCAUUUGGAACGGAUCGGGCGAGAGCUCCGCCAGCCAGAAUCCAUUUGCGACCCUACUGAAAAGAAUCCAUAGUUAAAUUAUUAGAGUGCAAAAUUUUGAUUUCGAUUUCCGGUUUCGGAUUCAGGUUACAACGCCAAAUUUUGCCUUACCACGUUAAUAUACUCGGAUCCCUUUUACUAACCUAUCUUAAUUUGUGAUUAGGCCUGCUACUUCCUGAGUUGGGUUCUAAAGUUGGUUAAGGCAGAAUUGGUUCUCGGUUUCAAAUCCUAAGUUUUACGUAUAAGUCUAUGUUUUGGAUUGUGAAGAGAUUGCGUUACGUGAUGUGCGAAAGCGUAAUAAAAAAAAAUAUAUUCUGUUUGUUUUCGUACGUGAUAUCACUUUUUGCAUGUCGCAAUAAAUCAGUAAAAUAGGUUUCAAUAUAAAAAUUCAAUAAUCAAAUAUGGUAUGCGGGCCCAAUCCAAAAUGAAUUUGACUAUUUUAUGGGCCGGCUUCUGGAUAAUGGGCCAUAAUGGCCCAUUUGUACCUGUACCCAAAGAUUAAUUAAUCUUAAUUAUAACAAAACAAAAAUCCAAAUUAACGAUUAAAUCUCGCAUACACCGCGCAAUCGGAGGACUAAAUUUAUAUAUGAGCAAUACUACUAGUACAACCUAAAGUGAGAAUACAUUUUGCACCCUUUUUAUCCAAGGGCCGUCAUUUUCUAUUUAUCACAUCAAAUUUUUUUUUACUAAAAUAUAUUUUAGUUUUUUUUUAAUCUUAGGGGCUGUUUGGUUGUACGCAUUUGCAACUGCAGUGCAGUUGCAAAUGCGUGCAGCCACAAUUCCUUUGUUUGGUUUAGUGUAGUUGAGUUCAAUUGCUGCAGUUCCAACUGCACAAGAAGGUCCAAAUGCUGCAGUUGGAACUACAUCCAAAUUGGUCGUAGUUCCAACUGCAGCAGUUGGUGAGGGAUAGGAUCACCCACAAAUUAACAAUAAUAAAUAAAUAAAUAAAUAGCUAAAUAAAUAAAUAAUAUAUGUAUAUAGGUAAAUAAAAAUACUUAUAAAUAAACUCAUACUAAUAAAAUUUUUUAGACAAUACAAGCUUUGUGCAAAAAAUUAAUUUUUUUAAAUUUAUUUUAUUUAAAAUAUAAAUAUAGUUUUUUUAAAAAAAUUUUAUAGAAUGUGAUCGUGUAUGUUAAUUUAAUAAGUUUUAAUUAAUUAUAAUUAUUAAAUUUGAUAAAAAAAAUGAGAGAAUCGUUUAAAUUUUUAAAGUUUGAUUUACAUAUUAAAAUUAAAUAAAUUAAAAAUUUUAAAUGUGUCGAUUAAUAAGUUGAAGAAUUAUUGAAAAAUAUAAAAAUAUUAUAUAUAUCUACUUAUUUAUUUAUAAAUAGUAAAUUUAAAUAAUUAAUAAAUUUAUACAAUUAUUUUAUGUUUAGUCACCACUCUAUCUGAAGAAGUGACAAAAUUCAUAAAUACAACUAUCAGCUUCAUAUUACCAAACAGAAGAAAUGUAACUGCAGCAGUUGCAAUUGCGUAAAACCAAACAGACUAGGUAUAGUUACAACUGCAGCAUUUGCAAUUGCAUGUAUUUUCAACUACACUGUUUCUGUAACUACAUCCAACCAAACGGCCCCUUAGGGUGGGAGUGUAAGAUAUACACCUUCCUCUGGAAUGUACAAAUGAAAUUUUUCUUUACACAUAUAUAUCUCUGCAAAAGUUUGUUGGAAUAUUUAUAAUAGUUUAGAGAUUAGAAGAACUAAUAUGCAAUAUUCUAAUUUUGCAGGGUUAUAUUUUUAAUUCUCUAUCUAUAUAUACACUUAUUUAUAUCUGUAUGCAUUCUUUGCAUUUAACCCUUAAAGCCACGCUUUGCGUCGUCGGCGUUCUUAAUUAGUUCAAUUGUGAGGAUCAUCAACAAAGGUAAAUAAUAAUAAUAAUAAUAAUAAAAACUCUAUGCAUAUUUUGUGGUUUCCUUUAUUUGAUGUAGAGAUGUUUUUUGCAUAUAUAAUUGUAAAAACCUAGCUUUGAAUUCUAGGAUCUUAGCUCUUUUGUUUUUUUGUUUUUCUUUUUUUUUCAAUGGAUCAUUUCCUAUCGGUUUGAUCUUUUCAAUCUAGAUUUCUUUUUCUCACGUCUUUCAUGUCUGGCGUAUAUUUAUAUCUAUUAUUUUGUUGAUUGUUUCUUUUUCUCUCCUACAAGUGCACGUGGUAUGAUUUAUUUGAUCUUCAUCAUACACAUGACGUCAAGAUCAGUCGUGUAGUAGGUAAUUAAAUUUUUAAAAAUUGAAUGAUGUAGACACUUGGCAUACCAUCUCUUUUAUAUUUUCCAAAUGCUUAAACUGAUAGAUUAUUAGUCGAAAUUACGAUUUCACUGUAAACAAAGAUAGUAUUUAGAUCAAGUCAAAGUAAGGAUUCUAUUCCCUGAAGGAUCUUUUCACGUACAAAUGUUCUAUCGCAUGAUUUUCUGCAUUUUUAAUAUGUUUCUAUUUACGAUUUAAAUUCAAAUUAGUGUUUGCGCUAUUUGUCGAUAAAAGAGGAAACAUUUGUCUCAUGAUUCUAUUGUAGCAUGUAUUAGGAUUUGGAUUCAAAUAACAGUUCGAACUUAUGUUAUUCGACGAAUUCGUAAUCCACAUCGUAAAUCAAAUCAUUUUUAGCAAAUGAGAGUGAUAGGUAAAGCCUAAAUGCUCAUUUACGGAUUCUGAAUCAUUCUAACUUUUACGAAUCGCCUCUUUCAUAUAUAGAUUACUUCUAAGACAAGUUAAAUUUCGUAAGCCUCAUUUCGACAGUAAGACGAAGUAUUGCCAUACAAUCUUGCGAGGCUCCGACAAUGAAUCUGAGUUUGUUUCCGCUGACUUUUUCUGUCAGUUUACAACAAUGUUUGCUAAGUUUUUCACUCCCUGAUGAGUUUUAGUUCUUUUAAAAGAUCUUUGUUGUAAAUAUUAAGGAAGUAUACUCUCAAACAACAUUGUGCUACAUCAAUUUUUGCAUUGUAGAGAUAUGAAUGAAUCAUAGCACACCAAUUCAUCGAAGAAUAGAUAUAACAUGAACUCAUUUUAUACCAACAAUUGUAAUUUAUGUUUCUUCCAGGAUGUCGAGCAUUACUCUCUCGACGGCUAUUUUCACUCCGAAAGGCGGCAUCAAAUCGCAAAGCCUCUCUAUUCUGCCAAGCAUUUCUACCUCCAUUGGCUUCAAAAGUGCUUUUCCAGAAGCACUUCUCUUAAAAUCAUCUAAAUGCUUCAGGACAACUAUGAUGGCCACCUACAAAGUGAAGCUGAUCGAUCCGAAAGGGCAGGAGCAGGUGUUCGACGCCCCAGACGAUGCCUACAUUCUCGACUCGGCUGAAAUGGCCGGCGCCGACAUGCCGUUCUCGUGUCGCGCUGGCACGUGCUCUACCUGCGCGGGGCGGAUCGAUUCGGGCAAGGUGGACCAGUCGGAAGGGUCGUUCCUCGACGACUCGCACAAGGAGAAAGGAUAUGUUCUCACCUGCAUCUCCUACCCGAGAUCGGAUUGCGUGAUUCGCACUCACAAGGAGAGUGAGCUCUUCUAAGUUCUACUGCUACUGUUGCUUUGAAUUCAUUCGGAGCUAACUUAGUCUCUUAUUUUGAAGUUUCCUGCAGCAUUUUUUGUUGAUUGUGUAGUGAUUUUUCUCCUGGAAAUGGUUAUGGCAAUUGGAUGAAUAAUAGUAUGUGCAGUUCCAAGUGCACAUACAUGCAUGUAGGUUGAAUUAAACCCUACUCUUUUCUAAUAAGCCAUUUAACUUUGCUGAUCCAUUUCAACUGUUAUAUAAUGUUUAUUUUUUGCUGGUUUAUUUUUCCCUUGUUGUUAGAUACUACUUUUUCUUAGGGAAAUUUUAGGUACUACUUGGUCAUGGUGGAGUUGUUGAGAAAUAUUUGUAUUUUACAGUGUUUCAAAGUAGUAUAACAAUUUCAAUCUCUGAAAUUUGUUCUGUAUAACAAUUAAGUAAUUUGUCAAGCUAUAUAUUUUGCUUAACAUUAAUGUUAACAUGGCUUCUUUUAUUAAACUUCAUAUGUUACCUCAAGUUAAUUUUUAUGUUAAAAAGAGGAAAGUUAGACAAUAAUUAUAACAUUAUGUUAUAUAGUGAAAAAUUUUGAUUUGCUCAUGAAAUAUAAAUGGAAAGUGAAAAAUUAUGUUAUACCAAACUAUUAAUAGUAUAGUAGUCUCGUUAUAUAUACAUAUAGUAUAGACAACUUUUUAUUUUUUUUCAGAUGUAUAGCUCAUAGAAUAUAAAUAGGUGCCAUUGUUUUUUAACACAAAUUACAAAUAAGAAUUUAAAAGCCAUAAAAAAGAAUUAUAGUGAUAGAAACACAUAAAUUGAUGCAUCUGGUGAACAUGUUGCAUAUAUAAAGUAUGUUUGUUAUGAUUUAUUUAUUUAUUAUUACGGUGACGAAUGUAGUGAAAUUACACUACAACAGAAUUAGGUUACAGGGACACAUGUUUGGGACACUUUUGAGUAAGUGUCCCAUUUAUCCUAAAACUUAAAAAAUCAUCUACUAAUGCCUUAAUAUAAGGCCCAAUCCAACCAAAAAUAAAAGAUUACUCUACUCAACCCACCACACCCAGUCCAUUUGGCCCGAUUACAAACAGAAAAAAAAAGAAAAGAAAAAUCAAUUAUCAUCUUUUCUUCUCUUUUCACUCAAUCCACUAAAAUUUUAGACGAAGAGCCUUUCCUGUCGUCCUCCUCCGCCACCGCAGCCAACGAGAUAGAGUUUUGGCGGUUGCUAAAUGCUUAAAUAAGUGUUGGUAAAUUAGCAGCACUCUUUUAGAUUAUAGCGACACUCUUUAACUGUCACUAUAUACCUAGCGACCCCACAUAUAGCAACACUUUUAAAAAGUGUCGGUAAUUUUAGCUAGCAGCACUUUUUUGACAUGUACCGACAUUUAAAAGUGUCGCUAUAGACCGUUUUUGUUGUAGUGUUAUGAUCUUUCUGGUACAAGCAUAGUUAGUUAAUUCGGAUUCGGCAAAAAUUCGGUACGGGUAUAAUACGUAUAAAAUUUAUUUUCUAAUUUUUAAAUUCGUUGAAAAAUUCGGCUUAAAAAACAGAUUUGGUGUAAAAUAUAAAAUAUAAAAUAUAAAAUAUAAGAUAAUAUAUAUUUAAAAAUAAAAUUAUAAUUUUUUUAUUCAUAUUUUCAAUUAUUCAGUAAUAAUUUGCGAAUUAUUCGUGAAUUAUUCGGCUAGAUUAAAAAUUCGCGAAUAAUUCUCCUUCUUUGAAAAAAAUUCGUAAACGGACCGUUUAAUUCAAAUUUUCAAUAAUUCACGAAUAAUUUACGAAUAAUUCGCGAAUUAACUAACUAGGGUUACAAGUAGCACAACUGAAAAGCAACUCUGAGAUUAAUUGACAUGCUUGGAAUCUGUUUGCUAAUUGUUUUGUCCUUCACAAACCAAAAAGAACAAGUUUCUGAGUGAUAGCUUAUGCAUUAUAUGAGAUUUUUUUCCAUCUUUUAUUUUUUUAUUUUUUGUAACUGCAAACUAAAAGUUUGAUUUCAGCUUUUCAGAAGGUUUUGAUAAUCAUAAUUUAGUAUGUGUCAUCUAUAGAGCGAUCUAUUUUAUUCCAAAAAAUUAACUUGAUGAUUGAAUGGGGUCGUCUUUUUUAGCAUUUAAUCAUACUUCUUAUCUAUCAAAGACUAUGAUUUGUUUUACUACACAAAACCGAUAUGCGGAAUAAAAUAUUCAUGUGUAUAGAUAGGGCCUUAAUUCUUGAUAUUAUCUUGUACAAUAUAUAUCAGAGUUAGGGCAAAAUAUAAGUCUUUGGUAGAUAAGAAGUAUUCAUGUGUAUAGAUAGGGCCUUAAUUCUUGAUAUUAUCUUGUACAAUAUAUAUCAGAGUUAGGGCAAAAUAUAAGUCUUUGGUGUAACAUACUUAUUGUCCGAGUUAAAGCAAAAUUGUUAUAUAAUUUCAAACUGAUCUGAAUAACACACUUCAAAAUUGGGUUUGAUCUUCAAAAUUUUAAAAUCAUACAUAGAUUCAAAUCUGUGACCUUAUGGCACUACAACAGAAUUAGAUUAUAGGGACACAUGUUUGGGACACUUUUGAGUAAGUGUCUCAUUUAUGCUAAAACUUAAAAACACAUAUACUAAUGCCUAAAUAUAAAGCCCAAUCCAACCAAAAAUAAAAGAUUACUCUACUCAACCCACCACAUCCAGUCCAUUUAGCCCGAUUACAAACAGAAAAGAAAAAAAAAAAAGAAAAAUCAAUUACCAUCUUUUCUUCUCUCUUCACUCAAUCCACUGAAAUUCUAGACGAAGAGCCUUUACUGUCGUCCUCCUCCGCCACCGCAGCCAACGAGAUAGAGUUUCGGCGGUUGCUAAAUGCUUAAAUAAGUGUUGGUAAAUUAGCAGCACACUUUUAGGUUAUAGCGACACUCUUUAACUGUCACUAUAUACCUAGCGACCCCACAUAUAGCAACACUUUUUAAAAGUGUCGGUAAUUUUAGCUAGCAGCACUUUUUUGACAUGUACCUAUAUUUAAAAGUGUCGCUAUAGACCGUUUUUGUUGUAGUGUGGGAGGUACUGAGACAUCUAAUAACUAUGACACUAAUGCCUUAAUUAGUGACUACUAUUAUGUUUUUCCCUUUUUUUAUUUUAUUUUUUUUCUUUAUCUUGUGUUUCAAAACCUACACAAAGACCUCGACAAGAAUAUAUUCUAUACUGAGGGAUUGUCUCUUGGUCUGGUGUUAGGCUCACAUGGAAAGCAUCCACCACUUUUUUAUUUUAUUUUAUUUUAUUAAAUUUUUGAGGGGGAUAAAAAUCUAUGGAUUUUUCCUCUUCAAUUAUUCAUUUUCGAUUGAAAUCCUUUCAUCGUCUAAUUUUUAUGAUUUGUAUUUUUAUACUUAAGUAAGUUAAAAUUUUGACUAAAUUUAAUUACUAAUUUCACUAUUUAUUAAUUAAUAUAUUAAAUUAUUAAUUGAAUUAUUAAUUGAUUUAGUUUUAUUUUUUCAAAAGUGAUUAAGUUAGUUAUUAAAUUUGAUGAGAUUCUUAAAUUUUUUUGACUAAGCGUACAGUGUACCAAUAUCAUUUCUCUCUACACCUUAUAAAACUUAAAUAAUUGCAAUAAAUUAAAAUUGCAUGCACGAGUGAGAUUAAUUCUUAUAACUCGUGUGAACCCUCACUUAGUCAAACCACACAUUCCUCAGUUUAAAAAACACCACUUGGAAGUAAAAAAAGAAAAAAGAAAAGCAAAUGACCAUUUCACAUUCGAUUUUUUUUUUUUCAAAAAGUCAAAUUGACCAAGCUGUUCUUGCCCAACAGGUGUUUGAAAAAUGGGUUAAUUGCACGCAGCUCUCUGUAAACAUAUCGAAUAGUAGAUAUAUUCCUACAAAGUUCAUAUUUUUUAUAUUUAUCCAUAUAAAAGUUCUAACAUUUUAAAAUAUAUAACUGCUGUUAGGAUUCGUUAUAAAACUAUAAUUAACCAUAUAAUCUCGAUUAGUAAAUGAUGUAAAUUGACUUUUUUAUCCCUCUUAUAUUAUUUGUGAUGGGGUAGAAAGAAAGAACAUGGCCGUCGAAAAUUUUUGGAGGAUAUUUCUUCAUAAUUCUAACAAUUGAAACUUCUGAAGAGAUAUAUUUGUAAUGACAAAAUUGUCAUUUUACUUAUCUUUUAUUAAAAAAUAAAUAAUACUCUAACAGUAACAAAUCAAGAAAACAAAUAUGAAUAUUACUAGAUUUUUAUAGAAAUAAAUAUGAAAUAUUGAAUUUAUAAGAUAUCUUUGUCAUUCGAUAUAUAUGUUUACGGGCAGCUGCACGAAAUUAAUACUUGAAAAAUUAUCUAAAUAGUAAACUAUGUAGACAGAGUCAUUUCCUCUUAAAAUUACGAUUGUGCCCUCUAAGUUUAACGGGUCAGUAGGGAACUCGCCCGAGUCCAAAUGGAGCAGGUUAAUUUCGAGCCACUUAUAUUAAACCACCUCCCCCAAAUCCAAUUAAGACACUCGAGUCAUCUUGUUUGUUUUGAUUGUAUCUUCAAUUUGGUGCAUUAAUUAAUUGUACUAGGCGCACAAGUGCUUAACUGGUCCAGUCGACGGAGCUAUUGAGGGGCCCACAGUGGUCACGGCCCUUUCUAAAUUUUUUAAAAUUAUAUAAAAGUUCUUUAUAAUAAAAAUUAAAAUAUUAUAAAUUUUAAUUUUAAGGGGCCAAAUUAAAUUUUUUAAUAAAAUUUGUGUCUUAGUUUUUUUUCGAAUUUUUUGGUGCUUUCCUUUCAACUCUUACAGUCUUGUUUCUUUUUGAGCAUCUAACAAAUUUUUUUUCUUAUUAUCCGAGGUUGAAUUUUUUUUUCUAUCAAAUUUAAAUUUUGGCCCCCCGAAUUUUAAUUUCUGGCUUCGUUCCUGGGUCCAGUUGAUUCCUUGGGAAGAGGUUAGAAGUGGUGCGGUUCGAGUUGCAGGUGCGAGAGACUCUGGAUUUCUCCUAAUAAAAAAAAAAAAAAAUGGAGAAAUUGAAAAUGUACUGGCCAUGAAUUGAUUUUUUUUUAUGUAAUAACUAAAUAGGAGCAAGAACAAAAAAAAAAAAAANAAAAAAAAAAAAAAAAAAAAAAAAGUGACGCGGUGAUAAUUUAAAAACAAAUGGAGCUUAAAGAUAGUUCAUUUUGUUACCUAUCAAAUUAAUCUGAUGAAAAAUAAAAUUAUAUCAGAGUGUGAAUCUGAAUAAGAGAGUUUAUUCAAUGUUGAACAUAUAUACUAUUAUAAAUGAAAAUCCGAAGAAUUUGAUUUUGGGUAUAAGUUUUGUAUGUAUCUAACCAGAUUCAUAUAAAUCUUAAAACGCGGUAACAAUUAAAGCCCUUUGUAUCUCUACUCAAAAUAAUAUAUACCACACAUAACACUCAAUAAAUUCCACACGGGCUUACCAAUUCUCUCGCCAAAAAAAUACAAGUCAACUCGUAUAGAUUGAAGCCAAGUCAUGGGCUGUGACUUUGACUUUGACUUGUUCUCUCUCUCUCUCCACCACCACUCACCUAUACGGCUAUACUCCCAUUUCCAUUUCCAUGUACAUAAAAAUAUAACCAACCACAUCCUUAAUCCCUUGGCAAAAUAAGCUGUACACAAUUUAAUCACCUCCAACAAUUGAUGGCUGUGAGUUAUAGCUCAGAAGCCAUCCACCACCACCUCUACUUCCCCUCGGGCGACCGUCGCUCGCAUCUCCGGCGGCCCUGCGCCUCGUUUCGACCCCUUACUGCAGUCGUCGCAGCCACCGCAGCCGCCAAAGUCGGGCUGUCGCGGGCCGGAGACUAUCAACCAAUCUCAACUGCUAACACUCAGAACUACUUAUCUGACAUUCUCAAUCUGAACAUCAAGCAGUUCGACCUCACUGGCAACUGCUGUGACUUCCCCGAUGACGACGACAAUUGGUCGCGGCUCCUCGACCCCCUCGACCCGUCCCUCCGUGGCGAGAUCAUCAAAUACGGCGAGCUCGCGCAGGCGACGUACGACGCGUUCGACUGCGACCCCGAGUCGGAGAACUGCGGCAACUGCAUGUUCGACGGCAGCCGCUUCUUCGACGAGCUCGGCCUUGGCCACCACAGCUACGCUGUCACGCGCUACCUCUAUGCCACGUCCCAUGCCGACCUGCCCCCGUGGCUGCCCCGCUGGCUCCGGCGCUCGCUCCACGCCGACGCAUGGAGCCGCGACUCCAACUGGAUGGGCUUCGUCGCCGUGGGCCCCUGCCGCCCCCGCCGCCACCGCGACAUAGUCGUUGCGUGGCGCGGCACCAUCGUUCCCGCCGAGUGGUUUGAGGACUUGCACCGCAACCUUGAGCCGCUGCACCCAGCAUCGGUGGCGUCGGCGGCGCACGCCGGUGCCGCCGCCAGGGUGGAGCGCGGAUUCCAAAGCAUGUACACGUCCAGGAGCCAUGCCACGCCGCACAAUCAGCUGAGCGCGUCGGAGCAGGUCAUGCGAGAGAUCCGACGUGCGGUGAACUACUUCAAGUCGAAGGGAGAGGAGGUCAUGCUGACCGUCACCGGCCACAGCCUCGGCGGCGCCCUGGCGCUGCUGAACGCGCACGAGGCGGCAUCGGCGAUCCCCGACGUCCCCGUGCGCGUCAUAUCCUUCGGCUCCCCGCGCGUCGGCAACGAGGCCUUCGGCACGGAGCUCCGAAAGCUGAACGUGAAAAUUCUCCGCGUCGUGAUCAAGCAGGACUUGGUCCCGAAGCUCCCCGGGAUCAUCAUGAACGAGAGGAUGAGACGGUGGGAGGCGGCGGCGGGGGCGCUGGAGUGGGCGUACGCGCACGUCGGGCACGAGCUCAAGCUCGACGUGGCGGCGUCGCCGUACCUGAAGCGUGACGUCGACUUCGCCGGGUACCACGGCCUCGAGACCUACCUGCACCUGGUGGACGGAUACGUCGGGUCGAAUUCAGGGUUCAGACGGGGGGCGAGGAGGAACCUGGCGCUGGUGAACAAAGCAGGGGCGAUGCUGCGGAGGGAGCUCGGGGUCCCAGCAUGCUGGUAUCGGCCGGCGGCGGCUGCAGCCGCAGUUUCCGUGGCAAUCAACAGCUAUGAGAAAGGGGUAGUGAAAGAUGUAGAGGCUUUGUGUGGAGAAGAUGAGAUUGUUAAUAAUCCAAGAAGAGUUGAUAGAUGAUUAGCCCAAAUUGGUUUUGUACAUUCUGUAACUAUCAUUCAAUUGUAAUUAAAAGAUUGGCAUUCAGGGUUAAGAGCAAAGAUUGAUGAUUGAUCCUUCGAUAAUAUUCGAUAAUAUGGUAUCGGAGCUAAUUCUAAUUCUAAAUUUCCUCAAUUUUACCAAGUCAUGAGUUUAAAUGUCGGCAAAAUUAUCAAUUUCCCGAUCGUGCACAAAAGCAAUCGUAGUAGAUAUAAGUGAAUCAUAUGAACCACAUAAGUUAUAAAUGAAUCAAACAGAACCGAGUUUAUUAAAUUCUCGCACAAGCAAAACAAACCACUGGAACAAGCUGGGGCAGUUUCUAACAAUAUCCACAGCAACAAACCAGAUUGCUAGUCCUAGAUAAGAGGAGAGAGAUCACAACUGAUACUUCUUAGUUCCUCGCAAUGGAAAAUAACGGAAACAAAACGAAAAAAAGAAAACCCCUUUACUAACGCUAUCUAGGGGAACGAAACGUGUCUACACCCUGAUAACACAUUUUGCAGCAAACAAUCACAUAUAUACAACAAUUUUCUUAGCUUGGUAAAGGAAAAGCACCUUCGGAGUUGACCACAAAAACCAUUGCGAAUGCUGUUUUGAGAAUCCUGGAAACAUCACCAAAUAUAGCAUUAGCAUCUUCACAGAGGAGAAAUGGUAGAAAUAUAUAGUUAACACACAUUAGGUUAGGACAGGAACUAACAAGUUAAGGAUGUAGAUCUAGAUGUAUGCGAUUGGGCGUCUUCGAAGUGAUCGAUAUCAUCGGGUUUCUCCGGCUUCAAGCAAGGGGGAAUGAAUGCUGUAUAUAUCGAUUCCAUAUUCGGGGUUUCCUUUAUCUCACGGCUCGCGACCUCCAGAGGGGUGUGGGCAAAAGCGAGGUAGAAUCGGUUUUUGCAGAUAAAGGCGUAAAUGAAGGUGAUCGGGAUCAAAGGGAUCAAGAAAGGAGCGUAACAGAAUUCCUUCAGGAUGAUGAAGCCCAACAUGGUGAUCUGAUAGACUAGUAAAGCUGCAAUAAUUCGCGUGUGCAUGUGGGGCCACAUUCGGCCGUUGCUCUCGUAACUUGGCACAUAAACUCUUAGAACCUGAGUUCAGAAUGACAAAACAUUAAAUUUAUUUCUACGUUGCGGACUCAUGCAUACAUCACAGGUGUUGUUGAAGAUGAUACAUGAGUAGUUUUGUCUUAACAAGACUUGGAACUGUAAUCACAUCUUUCAUGUUAAAUGUUCAUAAUCAAGUAAAAAAAAUAAAAAGAAAAAAGAAAAAAAAAAUCUUGCUAACCUGAUUUCUUGCUACAAGCCAUCCAAGGCCAAAAUACACAACGCCGAAGGGUAUGAUUAAAGGAGCAAUCACAGAGUAGCAGAGAACGAUUGUCAUGAUGAGCAUGUCAUUUGGAACUCUAGUAGCGUAUCCCAGGUCGCCAGGAGCCCAUGCUUCUUUCACCUCUGCUUCGGUCUUACAAAGGAACUUCUUCUUAAGGUUAAAUAUGAUUAGAGGAACCAAACGAGAGAGCUCGAGCCCAUAGCCGACGAAGAAUCUGCGAUAAACAAUUAAGCACCAUAUCAGCUCCUACUCAUGUUGCAAGGCAACAACAAACGGUGAUACAUCAUCUCUGAAUAAUGUGAAACGUAGUAAAUUUUACUUUUCUUCUAAAACAAGUAAUAUUAUCAGGAUGAUAUGCACACCCUGCAUGAUGAAUUGCAUGCGGUCUUUGUCACACAUUGUAGAGAAGCAAACAAUUAACUACUGUCGGAUUUACACAAAUUUUGACAUGCGUAAGAUAAGAGAACUUACUUGAGAGCAACGAAAGUGAGGAAGAAAGUAGCAUUUCCUGGCAGGCUUCUGCCAAGCAGUGGAACAAUCUGAGUAGGAUGAUUCAAAAUGCUCUUCAACGAACUGAACAAUGUUCCCGCGAGAGUAACGCCAAUGAAGACGUUGAAAACAACGAAGUAGAAGUACUUUCCAGCCGCAGCUCGUACAGCAUGGCUCUCAGAAGCGAGUCCCUCCGCCUUAGACAGAAUCAUGAGGAACAUAGGCAGCAAUGCCAGAAAAACAAUAAGCACGAUCUGAGGCAAAUAAGCCUCCAAAACCGUCUUUAUUUCUAUUUGGUCCGCUACUAUCUUCAAAAAGGGUAGCAGUUUCUUAAGAUUAUCCAAAGUAGUAAAUGCGGAGAUGAAUGUGAUAGGAACCAUGUAGAACACCACCGUUAGAAAAACGAUGACGUACACUACAGCCUGUCGUAAUUGCCUCUCGUAUAGUUUCUUCGGGAGAUUAGUCCAUAGAACUUGGCGUGGCUCAGGAGCUUCCAACACCGCCCACGUGUUGGUAUUCUGAGCAUGGAUCGUCUGUGAUGCAGAAGCUGCAGCAGGCCUGCUGUUGAAGAAUAUGAUGGCUGCGGAUUGUUGUUUCUCACGAAGAGUGAUCUUCUGUUCCGCCUCUAAUUUGGGAAGUAAUUCGUUGAUUUUCUCAUUGCAGUAAUUGAUGGUGUCGACUUUUUCACCCACAAGACCAAGACAGCCGGUUCGGUGGGUUGGUCUAGUUCCAUCUGGUCUGCUUGUGGAUUUCGAUUCUGCAUACACGGCUUCAGCACGAGCAAGUUUCUUCUUAUUGGCUUCUAUCUCUUUCCAUAUUUUGUUGGCCUGAAUAAAAAAGAAACAAAAUGAGGCAACGAUGGUUCAAAUUUCAUGAAUCCUCCUCCCAGCAAACAGGACAAGAAAAGGCAAUCCCAUUAAACAAAAGAGGCCUCUUUGCAAGAAAGAAACAAACAAUUUUUUUAAAAAAAAAAAAAAAACAUAUUUGCAAUUUUGUCCCACUUUUUCAACUUCUAGAACUAAAAUCCAUGUGUAUACAGUUUUGAAUGAUUGAAAUUGUGCAUUAACAGUCCAAAAUGAUGAAAAGUGGCUAAACCAGUUAAAAAAAAAAAACAAUUAAGUUUUAUGUUUUUGUAAGUCCCAAAAUACUGGAUUUUUUACACAAAACAAACAGUGGAAGAUUGAAACCGGAUUUACCUCUUUGUUAUCAGUGACAACCAUCGAUCGAUAGAACGUCUCAGGAUGUAGCGCUUUAAAAUACGAGUCAACGUGGUCUUUUAUGCUUUGACCAGGUGAAGGUUUAGGCACAUCCCUAACCAAUAUGGCAAACUCUUCAGGCUUCGCAUCCGGACUUGAUUUUGCAGCAGCCCUCAGAUUGGAGACAUGCUUGUAGGUUCUCCAUAAGAUGUAAUAGGUGACAAAGGAAACCCAAUACACUCCUAACAGAAAUGCCCACAGCCUCUGACUACCAUUCUGAAAUACAAGAAGAGAAACAAUUAAACAGGAUUAGUAGAAUGAUUUAGAGUAGAGGAAAUCAGUGACCGAAGAAUAAUGCAUGAAAAACAGCAACAGAUUCCAACAGAAGAAUUGGCGGUAGUUUCUAUAGAAGAAGAAUAUGCAUUCUAUAAAAGCAGAACAGCAAGUAAUUCAUAAUAACAAGAAAGCUCACUUUGACAUUGCCCAUUGCAAGCUUGUCGAUGCUGGUGAAGUUUCCGGCAGUCUUGUUGUUUUUAGAAGCAUCGACCAGAGCGUGAUCAGUUCCAGCAACUGGAAGAAGAGCAGGAAGCAACACAAUGCCGGAGAAGACCAAUAUCCCCAUAACUAAAGUUGCCACACACACAGAAAAAAAAAAUCAGACUGCGGUGUCAGAAAAUUCUGUAACAAAAAUGAAGAGGAACUGGAAAAUUUUAUCGAUGUUCCUAAAAUAGUGAAUGGAGAUAAAGAUAGGAAAAAUGUCGGAAACUAAACAUUGUUUUGCAACAGGUGAUAACAAAAUAAUAUCAUGUCCAUGAACAACAAGUCAAUUUGAUAAAUGUCGUAACUUCAUUACAACCCCCUUAGCAAACAUGUUGUUUCAUUUAAAGAAAUUCCUGUCAAGUUAAGCUUAAUGGAUUCCCUCAAGACAUUUUUGGAGUCUAAACAAAGUACACAAGAUACUUUUAAAUCAGAUAAAACUUUAACCAAGGGGUUCAAAUGGAGAAAAGAAAAGGCAGCAGAAAAAAAAAAAAAAAAAGCUCAGGAACCUAUCUCCAAAUUAACUAUAAUUAGAUUGGUGUUUUAUAUGUUCUUGACUCAUACUUAAUUAUUUAUCAAUAUACUACUAUUUAUCAAUAUAGUUGCUUUUAAGGAAAAGAUAAUCUGUAAACCAAAACAGCUGAGAAUUAAUGCUAACUUUAAUACCACAAAACAGAAAUUGGUGAACAUUAAUAACAACUCAACAAACAUACCAAAAAUUUUCUAAGAAACAAUAAAAGGACCAUCAAAGCAAAUUAAAUAACCCAAAAUGCCCAGUAAAAAUUAAAUAAAUCUAUAUAAAUAGAGACCAUAGCAAGAAAACAGUAAAUCUUACUUAAAGGAGAAAAAAGACCAACAAAUAAAAGGCUAAAUUACACUUUUAGUCCUCAAAUUAUAGCUUAAACUUUCUAAAUUAUUGCAAUUAAGUCUUGUGAUCUAAUUUACUUGACUAAAUAUUCACUUAUUGCUAAUAUGGACAUGAUGUGCAAUCCUAAUCAUCGUCUUGUCAUCAAUCACAACAUUGUCAUAUUACUUUCAAAUUAGCAACGUAUCAAUAUUCAGUCAACUAAAUUGGAUUAUGAGACUUGAUUGUGACAAUUUAGAAAGUUCGAACUAUGAGCACCAAACGCAGAGCCUCAUAGUUUGAAGAGCAAAAGUGUAAUUUAGCCUAAUAAAAAAAAAGAAUAACAGAAACCUUACAUGUACACAAUUAAGAAGAGAGAGAAAAAAAUCAUCUCUGACUAAUGGUCCAGUUUGUGCCCAACUUGGACUAGUAUGAUUUUUUUUCUUCAGAUAAAGACAAGUUGCACCCACUUUCUCAUACAGGUCACUGAGCUUCAUCAUAUAUUGCAAUUUGAUCCUUACCACUUAAAAAAUUUGAAGUACUAAAGCCGGAUUUAUAUGGGAAUGCGACAAAUGGUUAUGUUAAAUGAGAAGUAUUAGUUCAGGGACUAAUUUAAGAGUACAGGGACCAAGUUGCAGUAUCACACGAUAGUACGGGGACAAAUUUAUUCAUUUUACCUGUAAAACAGCUUACAUGAUGGCGACUCAUUUGGCAAGAAAAAGAAGUAACAAACAAAUAAUAUCAAUAAUUGCAGGUAAUCAAAGAGGAGUAUUUAAUACGGAAAAUAUAAUAUAAUUAAAAAAAAAAUCCACAAACACUUGGGCAAAAACUGUGUGGACAUAGUGUCCACUUCACACAUCAAAGUAUCCCAGAAAUUAUCAGAAAAAUUAAAAUUUCACAUUCAAUUUUGAAAAAUUCUUCAUAAAUCAGAUAUACCCAAUUAAAUGAGGUUAUGGAAAGCCCCUCAAAAUUGCAAAACAUUUCGAAAUUGAUACUUUUAUGUUUUUAAUACCCUCUCAAAUUCCAUUUCUUUUGAUUGGAGCUACACCAAGCACCUAAAUUUGAAAUUUCAUUACACAAUUCACACUUCUUUUUUUUUUAGAACAAAAAAAUAGCUAGUCGAUUCAACAAGAUCCCUAAUUAUACGACCUAAAAUGAUUCAAAUCGAUCAAAAAUAAACAAAAAAUUAAACGGGGGAAAAGCGAAAGACACCUGUGGCGAGGAAGAUCAAGUAGACGACGGCGUCGACGCCCCCCGCGGCGACGACGUCGGCUUCGGAGGCGGAGAACGCCUCGGCGAUCCACCCGACGGGGCUCCUCGUCCUCCUCCGCGCCCCAUCCCACGGAUCCGAUCCCCUCAAAAUAGGGUUCGGGUAGUACACCACCGCGUUCUCCGGUUUCCGCGAGAGCCACACGAACACGAGCAUCAGCACCACGAAGAUGACGAAGGAGGUGGCGAGCGACGUCAAAAACGAGCUCAAAUCCAUCGUCCUCCUCCUCCUCCUCUUCUCCUACUACCACCACCACCACCACCACCACUACCACCACCUCGUUCGAUCCAAUUCGAAAAUUGUAGCCGUUUGAGCAGAGGAGGAGGAGGAGGAUGAAGAGGAGGCGAUGCUUAAGAUCGGUUUCAUGUGACUACUAUAAAAAGGGAGAGAGCACGAGAGGUGUUCGCAGUAAUGUCGCUACCGCUUUAUCUGUGUGGGGAUGUGAGAACACGAUGCUUUCGCUUCGGAAGGAGAGUGUGGGGGUGAAAUUACCGGAUUGCCCCUGGCUUUUAUGCUCCCUUCUUGGGGACUUUACAUACGUUAAGACCACUUUUUUCGCCUCAUCAAUAUUUUAGUUCAAAUUUUUAAAAAUUAUUAUGAUUAAGUACUUCAAUUUAAUUUGAUUAAAUAAAUUUUAAUAAAUUAUUAAUGUUUUAAUUAUGGGCAAACUUCAAUUACUAUUUCUAUGAUUUUGCACUUUCUCACUUUAAUACUUUGUAACUUAAAGUGUAUCAAUUUAGUAUCUGUGGUUUUAUUUUUCUUUUUACAUCAGCUCCUCUGUUAACUUUUCGUUAAAUUAUAUAUAAAAAACUUUAGAUAUCUUACCUGACUUUAUCAAAUAUUCACUUUAGUACCUUUUAGUUUUAAUUUUGUCACUGAUUUAACGAAAAAAAUUAAUGAAAAGAUAAUAAAAAGAGAAAAAUAAAACCACGAGAUACUAAAUCGAUAUACUUUAAACCAUAGGGUACCAAAGUGAGAAAGGGGUGGUAUUUGAAGUUUUUUCUUUAAUUAUUGAUGCAUUAUUAAUCAUAAUAUUAUCAUAAUACUUUUACACCAAUGAUUUAUCAAUAUAUAGUUAGUAAAAAUGGAGUAUAAAAUUUAAUUAUAAUGUUUCUAAAUGUUCAAAUUAUUAUUCGCCUCAUAGUUUGAGGACCAACCGUGCAAUUUAUCUAAAAAUAACGGUUGUCAGGAGGAAAAAGUAAUUUUCGUCUAUUUAUAUUUUCAUAUUUUAUAAAAAAAAGUGUACUUUUAUUUUUAGAUUUUUCAUCUAAAAUAUAAAGUUGUGGAAAGAAUGUUUUUAUAAAAAAUGAAACAAAAUUCACAAUUUUCUGAGAAACUAGAAACCCCUUUAGUGGGAAGAAAAAAAUGCAAUUGGUGGGCUAAAAAAAGGUUAAUAAAUCCAUAAAUAUAUAUAUGACAGUUUAAAAUAUAUGUAUAUUUAAAUUAAUUUUUAUAUUAUAUAAAUAAUAUAUUUGUAUUAACAACUCAAUAAAAAAAAGGAAAUUUUUGAAGAGCUUAUAGUGGUAAUUUAACAAUUCGAAUAAUUUUCUAAUAUAGAUAAACUGAAGACUCAUUAGGUAAAUCUUAAUUUUCUUAACAUUUAAGAUCUACUAAUUUGAUAUUUGAAUUGAGAAAUAUACUUUAAUUUCGUUAGCAUGUGAUUUACUCUGCAUAUUACCAUUAAUUAAAAAAAUAUAUAAACUAUAAACUAGAAUACAAUGAAAAGCAUUAAUAUAUUCAAAUAAUAUGUGAAAUUGGAUAAUAAUUAAUAAUUUAUGCAUGUAAUAAUAAUAUGAAAAUAAAAAUAAUAAUAAUAAUAUUGCAAAGUCUAGCACGAUUUCGAGGAAUUUAUCAUGCCAAAAUUAGACUUUUGGAUCAAAAAGUAAUUCCACAAGUAGGGACUCAAUAAUAAAGAUAUAUAUAAUAUAUAUAUAUAUAGAAAAGAAUAUGUGUAUGCAUUUUUGCUCCUUUUUGGACAACAACAACAAAAAAAAAAAAAAAAAAAGAUUUUUUUUUCGUCGAGCGAUACGCGGCGUGGACGCGGAUCACCACGUACCCGCCCACGUUCUUAGCAGGGCAUUUGUCAUUAGACUCGUCGACAUCAGGGGCCCCGGGGUUGGGGGGCGGGGGGGGGGGGUAAAAGCGUCAUUUCACGUCCUCCCCAUCAGGUACAGUGAUUCGAAGCUGUCACUGGGCCCACCGUGAUCCGUAACGUCACAAUCCCCUACUCCGACACGUGGCGUGUCUUUAUUCGCUGCCGACAGAGCCGUUUCUAUCGUUAUUGAUCCCCGCGCCGAGCCCACAACGGUUUCUACGCUGUUCAAUUCUACCUUUUAAAAACACUCACUUUCCUAAAAAAACGUAUACUACAGUAUAUUAUUCCCCUGCACCGGGUGUACAAAUACAUAAAUUUUUAUUAGAUUAAUUGCAUACAGCUCCUGUAAAUAUUUGUAAAUAUAUCUCCACAAAGUUCAACUUUUAACUCUUAUUCCUAAAAAUGUUUAGUGAUAUUUAUAUUUAUUCCCCUGAUUUGUUGUCGUUAAAAGAUUGUUUAUCUUUUAACAGUAGAUAAGUGAAAUAUCAAUUUUGCUAUCAUAAAUAUAUCCCUCUAAAUGCCCCAACUGCUAUAAUCAUGCAGAAAUAUUCUCCCAAAAAAUUUUCAAUAAUCAUCUUAUUUCUCUUUAAAACCCAACUUACUCCACUAUUGUUGCAACAUCUUCUCUCACUUUUUUUUUUCUAAACCUUUUUUUUUGAGCAAAAUAAGAAAAAAAAUCACAAAAUAAACCGAAUGGGAAAGCACUGCGCGUUUGACAUGGGUGAUGUAAUACGCAUCGUUGAUGAAUGGAGAUGGAGAAAUUUUAGUUACGAGUUCGAAACUAGCAUGAAGAAGAGAGAGGAAGAGAAAAAAGAAAAAAAGUUCUCAUUACUAGAGUUUUGAUUGAAAGAAGGAGAUAUAAUAUAAGAGGGAUAAAAAUAUCAAUGUACCUAAAUGACUAAUCAGGGUUAAGUAUUUUAUUUAUGAUUAACUGAAUUUUUUAACAGAUCCUAAUGGUAGAGACAUAUUUGAAAACAUUAAAAAUUUUUAUAGAGAUAACAUAAAAAAAUAAACUAUGUACUAAAAUAUUUGUAACUCGCUAUAUAUUUACAUAGAGCUGUAUGCAAUUAACCUUUUUUUAUUUGUUAGGAUUUUAAUGUUAAGUAUUAAUUAUCAAAUAUGAUUAUACAUUCAGAACAAGCAGCGACUUUUUACAUUUAGCAUGAUUUUUUUAUUUCUGGAAUAAUAAUUUGGUGGAGAUGGUUUUGGAUAUGAGAUUUUUUUUUUUUUUAAUGUGAUAUCUUAGUUGUGGGAACGUUUUUGAGUUUAAAAUUUGUUUUCCUAAAAGUGGAGAGAUGAAAUUUUUGUUGUUAUAAAUGUUUACUAUUUUUAUUGUUUAUUCAUCAUAAUUUCAAUUGAAGUUUAAUUUUUUUCAAAAUAAUUUUAAUGACUUCGACAAGAUGAAAAAUAGUGAAAAAAUAUUUUCAAAAAAAAUAAAAUAAUGACCCAUAAGUAGAAUUUGAAGAACUUCAAUUCAACCUAUAUAAAUACAAAAUAAAAAAUUAAUAUUUAUCUAAAUUUUAUUUUUUAAAUGUUUCUGAGUUACACUUUCAACGAAAGGGACACCUCAAAAUUUUGCUACUAAAAAACAAAAAGAAAAAAAAAAAUCUAACUAAGAGCUACGGUUACGACACGUAGCGUGCGGGUAAAAGCGCCACGUAGCAUGCGUAGUGUCGGUAGAGGCGCCGAGAAAAGCUUAUUGCGUAGACCGUGGUCCACCGAAAAAAUCUUAAAUUUCAAAAAUUAAAAUAACAGAUGUAAUAAAUAACACCUUAAUAUUUGUCUAACCCUACAAUUAUUUCUAUUUUAGGUAGAACAUUUUGUGAGCAAAAAUUUUAUGAACUUAAAAAAUUAGAUUGUGAAUUGUGGUAUGGUUAAUUGUAAUAAUACAUUGUAGCACAACUUAAAUCAUCGAUCUUUAAUUUUUUUUUUUUUAAUAAGAUUGUGUACAUGCUGUGUAUUUAUAUUUAUAUUUAUAUUUUUUAAAAAUGGUUGUGUUUUGGAUGACGUGGUGCACUUGGUCCAGCGAAAUUCCACAUCCAAAAGAGGGAAUUGGCUAGUCAUUAAAAUGUCAAGGAAGCUGAUGCUUAGCCUGAAAAGGAAAGGACUAGACGGAUAAGAACGUAUUAAAAAAUAGAAUUAAUUUCAUAGUGGUUACUUUUGCAAAUAUGAUAAAUUAUAAAUAUAUUUCUAUAAAAUUUAAUUUUCAUAUUUUUGUUACUAUAAAAAUUUUAAAAUUUUAAAAUUUAUCUUUUUUGUUAUCGUUAAAAUAUUAUUUAUUUUAUAAAUAAAAUGAUCUUUUUGUUAUCAUAAAUAUAUUUUUUAAAAAAUCAUAAAAAGUCAAUUCGCCUCAUUAACUAAUUAGAAUUAAUCAUUUUACUUAUGGUUAAUUAAUUUUUUCUAAUGGAUGGAACAUAUUUGAAAAUAAUAGAACUUUUGUAUGGACAAUAUAUGAAGUUAAAUUUUAUAAAAAUAUAUUUAUAUUUUACUAUAUUUAUAGGGACCUAUAUAAAAUUAAUCUUAAAAAAUAUGUAAACGCUCUUUCACUAUUUUUCUUUUUUCUUUUUUCUUUUUGUGGUUUAUAAUGCCCAUUGACCAUUGAGUAAAGCAUCAAAGAUAUUUUAUAUUUAUAUAUUUUUUAUUACUAGAUAUUUCUUUAUAGAUGGUGACUUUUUACACGUGUGGGUACUCCCAACCCUGUAUGAGUUGUAUGCGAUUGAUUAUCAUUCCUUCCAUGUACAUUUAUGUCACUUUUGGUAAUAAUACUUUAAUAUUGGAAAAAAAAGUGGACAAUUUAACACAUAAUUCAGAUACAGUGAGAUUUGGGAUUGCGAGGAGAUUGCAUUAAGUGUGGUAAAAAAAAUACGUUGAAAAAAUAUUUUAUUUAUUUUCGUACGUAAUAUUGCGUUCCGCAUAUUGCGAUGAGUCGAUUAUAAUAUAUUUUCUACAGUCUCAUCGGAGAACGCAGAAGCAUAUCCCUAUAUGCUUUAUUUUUCCUCAACUUGAUUUUAUCCAAUAACGUUAGAUGGAUUUCAAUAUCAAACUAAGCCUUAGUGUAAAUUAAAAACUGCUUUUAAUAAUGAUAUUUGACUUAUGUUUUUAAUCAUAAAAAAUGAGUGAAUUUUAUGACAACCAAUGCCUAAGAUGCAAUUGAUGAAUAGCAUAAAAUAUAAUUGCAUGUAAGAUAUGUGCUGAUCUAAUCCACAUCGAAAUUUGUGUUCAAUCGAAUUUUAUAUUUUCUUUCAAGAGAAAGGUGGUAUACCACCUAUUUCAUUUUUAUUUUAAAAAUAAAGUUAAUUAGAAAUGAGAAACAACUAAACUUUGAAUUUGCGAUCUCGAACAUCAACUAUAAAUUUUUUUAUUAUGUGAGUCUCCAGAUAAUCUUAUAUAUAAAGAUAUAAUAGAGCUAACCUAUUUAUAAUAUUAUGAACGGCAGUUAGAUUCAAAAGGUUAAGAGAGUUAAGCGUAUUAGAACUAGAGUAAUAAUAGGAUAGAUAAACCCUAAGAAGUGGAGUGUCACGUACCACCUGCAGCGUUAGAAACAAUCGAUGAUUGAAAUUUAUAUUAACAUAAAUUAUAUACUGUUCUUGAAUCUUAUAUUAACAUGAAUUAUUAUAUACUAGAAUUGUUCAAUUACCUAAGAAUUGAAUUUCACAAUUUUUUUAAAAAUUAUCAUACAAUAUGCUGAGUAGGUAUAAAAUGAAUGAUCAAAAUCAAAUAAUAUUGUGUGAAAAUAAAAUUUAGAAUUGAGAAUGUUUUAACAAAAACCCACAUGCUUUGAAUUGUUGGACACUGUUACAUGAGCAAACUCAUACUCCAUUCAUGUAUUUCAAAAUUGCCAAUUUUGAAGUAUUUCAACCACCAUGUAAUAUUUUUUUUAGAAAAAUUAUAAAAUUUGGUUAUUUUGUAGCUGGAAUACUCCUCAAGAUAACUAAAAAUUCAAAAUCUGAAAAUUUGAAGGUCUAAUUUUUUAAUAUAUCUUAAGCCAUAAAGAAACACCAAGUUAUAAUUUCCUACUAUAUAUAUAUAUAAUAUUAUAUAGUAUAUAUUAUAUAUAUAUAUAUAUAUUAGAGCAGGGCUGCUGUGCUCCUCAGGAGCACGGAGGCCUCCGCUACUCUCUGAGCCGUUUUUCGAUGAAUGGAGAUUUCGAAUCGACGAUCGGCUCCGUUAAACUUGAUCUAGCGUAUUUAAAGUUUCUAGAAAAUAAUUUUUUGCGAUUUUCGAUAUCAUUUACCUAGCAAUCGAAAGGAUUCAAAAUCAAUAAUUUUAAGCCUGAAAAUAAAUCUUAUAAAAAGUACGGUGAUAUAGCACUAAAAUUUUCGAUCAGAAAUAUAGAUCUUGUUAUAGAUAGUUAUAAAGAAUUUUCUAUCAAAAUUUCAUCUUAUUUAGAAUUCUACACCGUUAAACAUUGAAAACGGCAGAUAUCAACCAUUUAAAAUUACAGAUUUCGAAUUCAUUCGAUCACUAGGUAAAUGAUAUCGAAAAAUCGCAAAAAUUAUUUUCUAGAAACUUCAAAUGCGCAAGAUCAAGUCUAACGGAGCCGAUCGUCGAUUCGAAAAUUCCAUCAUUGAAAACGGCUCAGGAGCACGGAGGCCUCCGUGCUCCUGAGAGCACAGCAGCCCUGCUCUAUAUAUAUAUAUAUAUUUCCCUAUAAAAAGCCCCUCAACAUUUUCACUCACUUACAUAUAUAGUAUUUCAUUUUUAUUAAACAUAAAGAGAAGAUCUAAUACAUAGAUAUUCUUCCUUUAUAUGUGUAAUUAAACCCCUUCUUCAAGUUAUGGUAUCCUGCAUGAAAGCAUGAAACAAAAAAGAAAUAAAUAAUCAAUUCUAUGCACAACAAUAAUAUUUUCUUCCUUAAAAAAACAUAUAAUUUGUUAGGUGCAAAUUGUACGAAACAAUCGUUGUAUUAGAAAAAUUUAACCCGAUAGAGAACAGUAUUUAAAUAUUUUUAUAUUUAACGCUCUCCUACAUGAUUGGGCUCGAGAGUUUCUGCUAAAUUCAUGAUGUGAAUUUGAAUUAAAUGAAAGAAAAUUAAUAAUAUAUGAUAUCAUGUAAAUUAUACGAAACAACUGUUGUAUUAUUUAAAAAUUUAAAUUGAUAGAGAACGGUAUUUAAAUAUUAUUAUAUUUAACAUUAUAUUUAAUAUUAAGCAACUAUGAUCAUUGCAAUAAAAAGUAAAAGGUAGGAGAAAGCCAAACGGACGCCAAAGUUGAAAGUAACUCACUCAUCACAUUUUUCGAGGUCGACGGAGAAGGAGAGCGAGGCGCAGCACACGUCGGGGAGGGUUUUGAAGAGAUCGUUCCGGAGGCCCGUGUAGCGGUCGACGGCGACUCGCAUGCAGUGGCACGCCAGGCGGCGGUCGGCGGUGCUCACAGCCAGGGACUUGAGGUGGCGGACGCCGUCGCAGCACGAGAACGGCGGGCGGGGUUCAAUUCCCGCCAGGUAGUACAUGCACGUGCCCAAGUUCAAGCUCACGUUCCCGCACGACAUGGCUCGAACACCCUCCGUUGCCAUGUACACAUUCCACAGCAUCAUCAAGAGGAGUAUUCCCGCGAUCGACGUGCUUUUCAUGAUCUGUGUGAUCUUUAUUAUCUGCAAUUUGGUUAGUUUUCUGAAUGUGGUGACUCGGGCUAAGUUCGAGGGCCCAUUUAUAUGGGGCUUUGGUAUGAAAGUGGAAAUUCAGAAUUAAAUUUAUAAACAAAAUUUGAAUUUUUUAAAAAAAAACAAAUUGUAAAAGUUUUUUUUUUUUUUUUUACAAAUAAUACGUAGGGUGCAACGUAGUUACGUAGAUGACGAGGGGUUCACGUGUUAGCUUUAUUUGUUGGCACCGCGAGAGUGCAAUGCGUGGUGAGCCUCAAUGUGGGCCGAGGACACGCAUUGAGGCUUUUAUUAAUUUUUCGGCGAAGUGGGAAACAUUUGGCAAAUUUUUUAUAUAAAUUUUUAGUUAAAUUGCAGAAAAUCUUUCUGUCAAAAUCCGAUUUUUUACUUUUCUCCCUGUCAUUUAAAAACCUAUAUUUUACUUCCUUAUAAAUGAAAAAUGUUCACAGAGGGUACGGUGUAAACUUUGAUGAUAAAAUGACCAUUUUGCCCUUCAUCACAGGAGAGGAAGCUGAGGGCAUUUUUGGUAUAAAAAAAAUAUAAUAAUAUUUUAUAAAUGGAACCCUAACGGAUUACUAACGGCAGGAGGCGAAGUGAAUAUUUUUUAUUUUACAAGGGGGUAAAGUGUAGGUUUUUAAAUGACAGAAAAAAAAAAUAAAAAAUCGGAUUUUGACAGAGAAAUUUUAUAUAAUUUAGCUUAAAAUUUUCAAUCAGAACUUAAUAUUUUUCGCAACCAAAUUUAACACUAUCGGAACAGAUAAAUUAUAUCUAGACAUAAUAUAAGUUUUUUUUUUAUUAUUAUGAUAAUAAUAAAAGUAUCUUCGAAUAUAUCAAUUCUCUCUUUCGUUGUAUAACUUGUAUUAAAUACUUAUAAAAAAGAUAAAGAAUUUAAUACUGUCAGAACAGAUAUAUUGUAUAAAUUAGAUUUUUUUAUUCUAACAAUAUUAAAAUUAGCUUUGAAAAUAUCAAUUCUCUUUUUCUGAUUUAACAUACAUAUAUAUACUAAUAGGUCUUAGACUUAAUAUAGUUUUAAAUUUGUAGGUUGCAUGAAUCUUAUUAAGGUCGAAAUUAAUUUUAAGUUAUAUUUAAGGUCGAAAUUAAUUUUAAGUUAAACUUGAGCUAAGAUAAGCUCGCUUAAGCUUGGCUCGUUUCCAUUCUAGUGUUUUGACAAUGUGUAAGCAUAAAUUCACGUGUUAAUUUAAACUUUUGAAUUGGAUUCGAGCUCGGUUUAAAUGCAACGAAUAUGUCGUAAUUGAUACUAAUUUCUUUUGAUCUCUCUCUCUCUUACAAAAGAUACCUUAUUUUAGUUAUUAGUUCCAAAGCGAGAAAAUUGGGAACUAAUUCCCUCACCAAAAAGAAAAAAAGAAAAUUUUGAAUACAUAGAGAAAAUAACACUCGACUUCUCUUUCUCUUGCUUUACUCAUUUUCUGCAACUAAACCACAACCCUUCGUCGCCCCGUCGGCUCUCUUUCCGUCGCCGAUACCGAUCGCGAUCUUCUUCCGUAGCCCGAGAAGCAAACUCUCCAAUUUGUCGAGCUCUUCUGUGAUCCCGACUAUCUCCUCGCUCUCCCCAUUGCAGUCGAUCUUUUCUCGCAAGCGGCGAAUCCCCUCAACUCCCGCCUUUACACCGCCGCCGAUCUCCGCAGCUCUAUAUACCAUUCUUGUGUUCUCCUCCUGAGCCUCCUUCAGUUUGCUCUUCAUCGCCCGGUAGCUAUCUAGAGUUCUUAGCAGUUGCUCCGAUAGCGCUGUGUUCCGCUCCAGCAGAGUCUCGUGCCUCUAAAACAUCAUUUGAAGUUCAAAAUUUUAAACUUAGAAACACAAGAGCUACUGCCCUCCUAAAAGAGUAGUAAACUGCAAAUGUACUAACCGUACCUGAGCAUCACCGCCGACACUUUUCGCCACGGCCUUGUGCUCUGCCACGCACACCUUCACCUUAUCAAGUAACCUCUCAUUCUGCGACCGGAGGUCGCCCACCGCCUCCUCCGCGUCGUCGAGCUCUUGCACCUUCCUCGCGAGCUCCGCAGCGAUCAUCUCCUUCUCCUUCCCGAGGCUCGUGAACAUCCUCUCGAGGCUCUUCCUCGCCGCCAUCGUCGCCGAGAGCUCGCGCCGGAGCCGCUGCGCCUCCUCCGCCGGGUCCUGCGGCGGCAUCGGCGGCAUUGAAGGCAUCGGCUGCGGCUUCUUGUCGCUGCCGCCACUGCCGCCGUUGCGGCGUAGGUCAGUGUUGCACCGGCGGAGCUCGGCGGCGGCGCGGUGGUGGUGGUGGUGGGGUGCGGCGAGGUUGGAUUGGUGGACGCGGGAUUUGAUGUCGUCGAGGAGGGUGAGGAUUCCGGCGACACGGUGCUGCCGCCGGCUAUCGUCGGCGGCGGCGGCACCUUUGGAAGGGUAGGAGUGAUCUUGGACUAGUUUGUAAAGUAGUUUCACAUUUGCCGCGACACCUAUAGGAAUUAAAACAGUAGUACUAGUACUACGAUAAAAAGCAAAAAAGAUCUAGUUUGCACGGAAUAUCAAAACAAAAAAUUAAAAAUAUUGAACGAUGAAAAAUUUGUAUAUUCUGAUUGUUCUUCGUUAUAUCAAAUUUUAAACUAAUCAAUAAUAAUCAUAAAAAAAUCAACCAUUAAAUAUUAUAUUGAAUUAAACAAAACAUAUAACAAUAAAAGACAAAAUUAAAAUUUACCUUCCAAAGGAGAAUCAUUAUGUUGCUCCAACCUAUUAGAGGGAGUCAAUUCGGGGGACGAAUUUGCACGAACUCUAUUCAUGUUAUCCCAAUGAUCUCCUAUAUUAAACUGAAUCCAAAUUUUGAUGCAAAAGAGAGGAAAUUGUGAGAAAUAUUUUGAAUGAUCAUAAAAAGAAUAUCAAAUAAACAGGGAAAUUUUGGAUUUCUCUGCAAUUGCAAAGAGAAAUCAAAGAGGAAUAAGAGAGAGCCCCUCUCCCUCUCCCUCUGUCUAUCUCUCUUUACACCCUCUAUUGAAUUAAAAUGGUUUUUUUUUUUAGUUAUUUAUGUUUUUGGUCCAGAUCCUUUUUCGGUCAUGCUAAGAAUAGCUAGUGUACAAUUUGAGGAAUAGAGGGUGCUAAUUUAAGUAAUUUUGGUGCACGAAGAGGAGGUGCUGGACCUGUUUUGGGCCGGGUCGGGCCGGGCCGAGCCGGGUGGAGUCUGAAUAGGGGAUGUAAUGAAAAGAUAUCCUGUUACUUUUGAAGCACACGAACAGAAAUUCGAACCUCUGACCUCUUAGAUGAAACCGCAGAAAAUAAAAGAUAGUGUUACAUAUAUUUUUAUGAGUUUCACUACUAUACUUUUAUAAGUACAAUCAUUUUCGUACUUAUAAAUCGUUUUUAAUGAUAGAGCUUCCGAUUCAACGAUUCAUAAUCAUACUGUUAAGAAUGAUUUAGAACAUUUCAAAUUUCUGAAAACUAAAUUUCAUAAUUUUUCAACAUCAUUCAUUACCUUACCAUCAAAAGAUAUCGAAAUUGAUAAUUUUUAACGGAUGGCACCAGAUACUUGCCAGUUUAACUGUAUAAAAAAAAUCGAAAUCGGUUGAAUUUUUGAUAGAAAUUUUUUUUAAUUCAUUAUUUAGAUAAAGAUCAAUAAUUCCGAUCUUACAUUGAAGCAUCUGAUUCUCUAAAUAUGGUCGUUCGAUUUUAACAGUUUAUUUAAUGACGACUUAAUACAUUUUAUUAUAAUUUUAAAAAAUUAUAAAAAUUAUUUUUUAAAAGUUUCAAAUGCUUUGGAUCAUAUUUAACAUAAUAAACCGUCGAUUCGAAAGCUUUAUCAUCGAAAAUAAUUUAUGAAUAUAAGAAAUUCUAUACUCAUAACAGUGAAGCAGCUCUAACGUCGGAGGAGUACGCAAUUCGUCGACAAUUCUUAAUUUGCGGUGCUCACUGCUAACAUAAAUUAAAUUAAAUUAAAUUAAAUUAAUGUACAGGUCUAAUUAUACUAUUAUUACAUGUUACAUUAAAAGAGUAAUUAAUUAACACCCUUUGCUUAGCAACUCCUCAAACUCCGCAUCCGUGCUCUUGAGCAAAACCGCGAGGGGCAUCUUCACCCCCUUCGCCACCACCUUUACAUGCCUGGGCUUGAUCCUCUUCUCCAAACUAAACGCAAAGUACUGCGGGAACUCCUUAAGCUCCCCCGCACUACCCCCCAUGGCCUGCGCAAAGUACUCGUACUUGGGCUUGAAGUUCUUCUCUAUGCUGAACGUGAACAGGCCCGGGCACCGCCGCACCAUCGCCGCCGCCUCGUCGCGCGAGAGCCCGAGAGACGCCAAGUAGUCGAGCUUCGGCAUCAGCGUGUUCUCGACGCUGGCGACGAGGAGUAUGGGAUCGCGGUAGGCGAGUGCGGUUUGGUCGGUGAAGCCGAGGCGGUGCAGGAAGAGGAGGUUGGGCCGGAGGCGGUCGCGCACGCUGGCUGUCAGGAGGCGCGGGCAUUUGUUGACGACACGGCGGAUGUCGGGGCCGGGGAUGCGGAGGUCGCGGGAGAGGAAGGCGAAGACGGGGGAGAGGUGCGCGCGGACGUCGGCGGUGAGGAUGGAGGGGCACAUGCCGAGGACGCGGGCGAGGUCCUUGAAGAGGAGGCCCUUGGAUUGGAGGUAGGAGACGACGGCGUGGACGGAGGCGGGGGAGGCGGUGCGGAGCGCCGGGUUGAGGGAGAGGGCGCGGCCGGAGUCCACGCCCAUCACUUCCAGGCUGAUGAUCUUUUCUUUCAGCGGUGUCGGGAUGUCGGGGAAGGGGAGGGGGAAUUCGGCCCCGCGGAGGGUCACGGCCGACGGUUUCGGCAUGGCAGCGGCGGCGCAUAGAGAGCUGAGUGCGGACAUGGCGGCGGUUGGGGGAGGGGGUUAUGGGUGGUGGAGUGUUUGCACUUUGCAUUGCAUGCAAAUUGGGGUAGGAUCAUGGCUUAUCUGUUGGAGCUGCUGAUGUGGCAGAUAUGGGAGAUCUCAUUGGUGGAUAGGAUUUUAUUGGGAAUCGAGACCGACACGUGGCACCAAUGAUAUGUACAAUCAUUGUUGUCAAAUAAGUAAGAGCAAUCUAAUAAUCUAAUAAUUUCGGUCUCUCCGUUAACACCAUAAUCUUCUCAAAAUAUUUCUGAAAUGUAAAGGGAGCAAUGGAAGGUGCAAUUCCAUGUAACAACACCUUAUUAUUGAGAUCAGUGAAACAACAAACAGCAAAAGAAGUUCUUAGAUUCUCGGUAAGGAACAAUAUAUAGGAACAAUGAUUUAGUUCUCUCUACUGGCCAACAAAUUAUCCAGUUACAAGAACUGCAAAGGGAAAGCACUGCAAUAGCUGUUAAAACUGGGUUUAUCUCAAGCUAUGUGUUCGGCCAAAGCUAAGAUCUUGACAUGCUUCUUUUUCCUGAGUUCGUGCGGGACCGGCCCGAAAACCCGAGUACCUAUCGGCUCCCCUUGCUUGUUAACAAGAACGACUGCGUUGUCGUCGAACUUGAUUUCGCUGCCAUCGCACCGACCUCGCUGCAUCGCAGCACGCACGACCACGCCGUACACCACCUCUCCUUUCUUCACUUUACCACGAGGUUGUGCUUCUUUUACAGACGCAAUUAUGGUGUCCCCCAAUCUUGCUCCUUUUUUACCCUUCAAUGCUUGUAUGCACAUGACUCUCUUAGCGCCAGAGUUGUCCACCACUUUGAGGUUGGUCCUCAUCUGAAUGAAGGUUCUUUGUUGCUGAAAUGUAACAAUAAGAAAAUUCUUAUUCUAUCUGAAUGUAGCUAACAACAUGCACAGAUAAUGGUUUUCUUGAUUAAAUUUCUUUCAAUGCUUUUUAGCUUCAGUCUGUUUUGGCUCAUGAACCAUUUGUUAAAUGAGUUCUCUUCUUACAGCUAAACCUCGCCUCUUGCUGUUUUAAAUUCUUGAAAAGUUCGCGGAUAUUCGAGGAUGAUUUCCUUGUUUUCUCCUACCGUUUGUUACAUGGUGAAAAGUAUUCCAAGUAACAGAAAAUCUAGAAUGAUCUUUCCAGUAAAUUGGCUGAUAAAUGGCGGUGCUGAUAAAUGGUGGUUUAUCCAUAUUGUCCAAUAUAAGUUAUCAAUCCAUCAAAGUUUCAUCCAGUCCUCUUGGUCAGUAAUAAGGUAAAAGGCACUGGUCAUAAUUAAACCAGAUGCCACUAAUUCAUUAUAAAGUCAACCAAGAGAAUAAUGGGAAAGGAAUUGGUAAAAUGAAACAAGGAAAAACAGUACCUGAGACAAUAUAUUGCCAUAGUUUUGCCCUGCUAUUGUCUCUUGAGAACUUUUCGCUACUCCCAAUAGAUUGUUGCCGAGACUCCCCAACAGCAAACGGCCUGCUAUGAAGACAAAACAUGUCAAUGAUGUUUUAUAUAUCAAUCAAAAAGAGCAUUUGCAUAAUAUUUAACAUUCUUUCUGAUAAGACAUGAAGUGACUAAGAUUGGAACAAAAGACAAAAGAGAAAAAACUACGACUAUCCAAUGAAAUCCAUCUUCAUCAAUUACCACCUUAGUCGUUAGACUUGCUAGGGUCCCAUCUAACACUAACAACCGUCAUGUGAAGAAGGUUGCUUCUUGCGCCCAAGCUUCUCACAGGAUCAGCCUAGUUGUCGUUAGACUUUACAACUUAAUAUGCUGUACAACCGAAUAUGCUGUGAGAUUUUCCAAACUAACCCCUUAAGAUUCAAAUAACUUUACAACUUGAGAAACACAGGCUCCAAAAGCAUGGUUCUCUAAAUGAUAAAGUUCACCUUCUUAUGCACCUUGCAAAUGACGAAAAGUAGAGUAUAAUACCAAUUUAACAGCAUAAAGACCUAUACACUAGUAGUUAAUGGCAAGAUGGGAGAAAACACUACAUAAAAGGUGUAAAAUAGUUUCCCUAAUCAGCUUAGAUAAAAAAAAAUUAAAAGAAAAAAACAAAGUAUCAGCUGGAGAAUUUUCAUUUGCAUUUCUCCUUCUUAGGACAAAGACGCCUCCUUAGCACACUGUCAAUACAACCUGUAAUAAUCCCUUUUUUUUUACCUACUGAUAAGUUAAAGUAGCAUUUUUUUUCCCCUUUUUUUUGGUUAUCCAGAUUUUUCUCCUCUAUACUGACACUUUGUGAGCAUAUGUAUUAAGUGCUGCAACUAAUUUUGAUGUUCAAGAGAUAACAAAAUACAAACAAAUCACCACACAAUAAUCUAGAAACUUCACUAAAAUGAGAGCAAGCACAGGUUAUCAGCACACACCUGAAGAUAAUUUCGAUGUAACACGCGAAGCCAUUUCCCCUAACAAAUUUUUUAUGUGCAGUUGUAGUUUUUUCGAAUUCCCCCUGUUCAGAAAAUUAAACAAAUCACACACAAACAUGUGAUUCUACCAUGGAAUAUACAAUGUUUUUUUUUUCCUUUUCUAUUUUUUUUUAAGGUCUAAAUAACAAGUGGAGCAAGAUAAUACAGGAUAAUUCUCCACCAUGGUUGUUGACUAGUUAAAUAAUGCGUCUUUUUGUCCAAUUUUUACACAUAAAGAAAAAGAAUUAACAAUACUUCGAAUAAACUGGAACUCAAGAUCCUUUGUGCAUAAAAAAAUUGAAAUUUUUAUAGCAGGAGCGAUCGGUAACCAUCUGCAUACAGCCAAGUAAUCAAAAAAUUAUGAGGAAACACAGUAAAUCUCUCAAAUGCAACAAAACAAGCCGAUAAUUAUGACUUCUAACUGAGAAUCGCUCACUGAUGACACGAAUCUAUAGUCGUGAAGCUACGGAGUAUACAGAGUCAAAUCAACAAACACAUGGUGAGCACUCCAUCGUGUACGGUUAUAGAACAAUUUAGAGAGAUAGAGAGGGCACCUUGGAGAAGUAGGGGUGAGCUCCGAGCGUGGGAAAGGGGCGGCAGAGGAGGAGGAGACGAUGGUUCGGUGGAGCGAGCGAGCGAGCGAGAGAGAGAGAGAGAGAGAGAGGUUUCACCCGAGCGUGGGAAAGGGGCGGCGGAGGAGGAGGAGACGAGGGUUCGGUGGAGCGAGCGAGCGAGCGAGCGAGAGAGAGAGAGAGAGAGGUUUUGGAGGGUUACGGUUUUGAUCGGAACCGAGCCCAACCAGAUCCCUAACUAAAGUUCGAACGAGCGAACAUGGGCCGGGCCCACUUAAACAUUAGUGAAAUAUGAUAAAUAUAGGCCGUUAUUGGACUCAACUCAGCCCAUAAAAGAAAGGAGCCCGUGCCUAGUACAGUAAGAAAAUUUUGGGUCAAAGAAGACAAAGGGUAAAUUGCACCACAGGCCCUCAAACUUCAGUUACGUUUCAUUUUGGCUCCCUCUUGAAAAGUUUCCUUAUCCACCGGGUGUAAACUAUUGCCUGGACCUAGCGCAUAUGUAUAUUUAUAGUAAAUUAUUAUAAAUAUCUUAUUUGGUAUAAAAAUUUUAUUAUGUGGUUGGAUGUAUAGAGUUUGAUUUACAUAUUUAGGACGAUAUUAUAUUUUACAUCCAAUAUACCAGCUUUGUAGUUUCGUAUUUUUUUAUUUUAGUAUCACCUGGUUUAAAGUGUAUCAAUUUAGUACAUUAUAAAUUUUUUUUAUUAUUAUCUUCUUCACUAAUUUUUUUUUUAUUAAAUCAGUAACAAAAUUAAAACUAAAAAAUACUAUAGCAAAUAUUCGAUAAAAUUAUGUGGGGUAUCUGAAGUUUUUUUUGUAUAUAAUUUAAUGAAAUAUUAACGGUGAGUUGAUGAAAACAGAAAAGUAAAAUCAUAUGGUACUAAAUUGAUAUACUUUAAACCACCAGAUACUAAAGUGAGAAAGUACAAAUCCAUAAAAAUGGUAUUUGAAAUUUACCGUUUUUAAUAAAAAUACAAAUAAAUUUUAGAGAAAUAUAUACAUUUAUUUUUACCCAUGCGAGCAUUUCUUUUGGCCUGAAAUUGCCCACUCACGUUCCGAAACGUGUCCUCGAAUCUCCAACGGCAAUUCGACAAGUGGCCAUCUCACAAGCGGUCAACAAAUUGCUUAAUUAACUAGCCCACUUGGCACAGUAGAUAAAAGUGCAAAAAGAAUCAAUCCACUCUUUUUUAAUUCAUCCAUCCACGAGCUAACCCAACAUAUAAAUAUACCCCCCUUUUGUCACGCUUUGCACAUUUCGAGCUAACACUCACGUUAAUAAUUAAGCUAAAUUUUAAAUAUCACCCGUGUGGUUUUGUAAUUCUUUAUUUUAGUAUCGUAUUAUUUAAAAUAUAUUAUUUUAAUAUUAUGUUGUUUUAUUUUUUUUCUUUUUGUCAGCGUCUAAGCGUCUUCAUUAACUUUUCGUUAAAUCAUAUAAAAAAAAUUCAGAUACCCUACCUAUGGUUUAUCGAAUAUUUACUUUAGUACCAUAUUGUUUUAAUUUUAUUGCUGAUUUAACGAAAAAAUUAACGUAGUGAAUAACGAAAAGAGAAAAAUGAAACCGCAGGCUACGAAAACGAUACAUUUUAAAUCAUAAAAUACUAAAAUGAGAAAAGUGCGAGACUAUAGGAUGGUGUUUGAAGUUUUACCAAAUAAUUAUCACAAUUAUAAUAAAAACUUUGAUGCUUCCGACUUUUUAACCCUUGGAUCAAGAAUUGUACAGUUGGAAUAAUUACGAUCCCCUUAGAAUUGAGUAGUACCCCUAGGAUCGAGUGGUUCCAACAGAGUAAUAGUAUUAAUCCAAGGAUUAAAAAUAAUCAAAGAGAUUGAUCUAAAAACCAAAAAGUCGAAAGCACCAGAUUCUCUAUACUUUUGAUUGUACUGUAACUCUACUUAGACCUGGCAAUUCUGACCCAAAACCGGGGGUACCCGCGAGUUACCCGCAAAUUUGCGGGUAUGGAUACCAACUUUUUCAACCCAAAAAAUUACGGGUAAAACGGGUGAGUACCCAUUAAGCAGUGGACAUUUUGGGUAACCCGCGGGUACCCACGGGUACCCGCACAUAUAUUUUUUAAUUACAAAAUAUAUUUUCUCAAUUAAUAUAUAUUUCUUAUUAAUCUAUUCUAAAAAUUAUAAUCCUAAUUUUUCAUUGCAUAUCUUUCAUAUUAUAAAAUAUGAAAGAUUUAAGAAUUUAAAUAUUUUUAUUGUAUAUUAUAAUAUUUUAAGUAAUGAGUUAUAUUACGCUUUUAAAACUUAUAUAUAUAUAUAUAUAUAUAUAUAUGUUUUGCAUUUAAAAUAUAAGAGAAAAAAAAAGAAGUUAGGGAUAAGGCCGCAUACCCACCCACCACCUACGGAUAGUAUGGAUAAAGAUGUUGGCUACUAAAAAAUUUACGGGUAAAUUUUAUUCAUACCCAAGUAAUCCGCGGUACAAUAGUCCGUCCGCGGGUUACCCAACCCGCCCGUUUGACGAUCUAGCUCUACUCAUUAUUAAUAAUAAGUUCUCUCUCUUCUUUUUUUUUUUUUUCACUUUCUUCGAACACUCUGGCCUCUUUUUCUCCGGCAAGCGGCGUCUGCCCGGCACGCGUCGGGCCAGUCACCGAUGCGAAGGAAGACAGCCCUGCUGCUGCCCUCGUCUGCGGCCGCGCUCAAAGAGACAGCGAAGGGACGCGGAUUUGUAUCGGGAGCAAAGCUGAAUCUUGCUAAAAGAAGAUCUGGGAGUAAUAAAUUAUUGUUUAUUGCUGAGGCUGGUACAAGAUUGCAUGCUAAGAGCCUUUUUAGUUUUAUAUUAAGUUGAUAAUUAAGAUUAUAGUUAAUGUAGUUGACAUAUAUAUAUAUAUAUAUAUAUAUAUAUAUAUAUAUAUAUAUAUAUAUAUAGGGUUUGUUUGGUUAGGGAAUUUAAUAAUAGUGAUUAAGAAGGUACUUACCUGGAGCGUUUCAAGGGAACAAGAUUACGACAAAUGGAUUGCGCGUACUAUUUAUUAAUUUAUUUUUAACUAUAUUUUUAACGCAUAAUUAUGCAUUGUAUAGUUCAAAGCGAGCAUUUGCGUACAUGCCUUAAACAAUAAUAUAUAGGAAAAACUUAUUUUCUCAUUUUAAUACCUUAUAAUUUAAAGUGUAUAAGUUUAGUACUAUACGGUUUUAUUUUUCUCAUUUUUUUAGUAUCUCAGUUAACUCUCUCUUAAAAUAUAUAAAAAAAAACUUUAGAUAUCUCUCUAUGAUUUAUCGAGUAUUCACUUUAGUAGCAUAUAGUAUACGAAUUUUUUACUUUAGUAUUAUGUGGUUUAAUUUUCUCAUUAAUUUAACGAAAAAGUUAAUGGGGAGGAUAACAGAAAAAAAAAAAAAAGAAGAAAACCACAUGAUACUAAAGUAAUACAGUUUAAACUGCAAGGUACUAAAAUAAUAACGCAUUGAACUAUAAGGAUGAUAUUUGAAGUUUUUCCUCUCGUUUUCUCUCUCUCUCUCUCUCUCUCUAGGCUCCUAUGUUUUCGAAAGUAUGAGGUCUCAGUACUUGUAAGUUAUUUUCGAUGAUGGGACAUUCUAUUCCGUGAUCGGUUCCGUUAUAUAUGAUUUACGCUAUUGAAACUAUUUAGAAACUAAAUUUCACAUAAAAAUAUCAUAAAAAACAGUAAUGAAAGAUUCAAAUUUUAAAUCAGAAGCAUUGAUCUUGCUACUUAUGUUAAGUAAAAAUUUCAAUUAAAAUUUCAUGUAAUUUGAAUUAUUGUACACCGUUGAACUUAAAAAACGUGCCGCAUCGAAUAUUAAAAUAGUCUUUUUUUAGACUUUUGAUUACGUGGUAAAUUAUAUUGAAAAAUUAUAAAAUUUGAUUUAUACAUAAUUUUAGUAGUGUAGAUUAUGCCUAACGGAACUUAUCGUCAAAUUAGAUGUCCUAUCAUCGAAAACAACCUACAAGCACGAAAACCUCCAUACUUUCGAAAGCACAAGAGAUGUGUGUGUGUGUGUGUAUAUAUAUAUAUAUAUAUAUAUAUAUAUGUAUACACACAAUAGGGCUGUUGUGCUCUUAGUACGUAGCAUGGAGGUCUCGGUGUUUGUAAGCCAUUUUCGAUGAUUAAACUUUCGCAUCGACGAUUGGCUCCGUUAGACUUGAUUCAACGUAUUUGAAGUACUUAGAAAAUAAAUUUUGCCAUUUUUUGAUAUUAUUUACCUAACGAUUAAAAGGGUUCAAAAUCAAUAAUUUUUUAAUGGUUGAUGCCUGCCAUUUUCAAAUUUAACGGUGUAGAAAUAUUCUAACGAGAUGAAAUUUUGAUAAAAUUUUUUAUUACAGCAGGAUCAAUAUAUCUAAUUGAAAAUUUUAGUAAUAUAUCUCCAUUUUUCGUGAGAUUUUUAUUUGAGCCAUUAAUUUUGAACCUUUUCGAUCGUUAAAUAAAUGAUAUCGAAAAACUGCAAAAUUUAUUCUUUACAUACUUCAAAGAUAUAUCAAGUCUAACGGAGCCGAUCGUUGAUUCGAAAGUUUAAUCACAAAAAACAACUCUAAAGAGCAUAGCAGCCUUGCUCUCUCUCUCUCUCUCUCUCUCUCUCUCUCUAUAUAUAUAUAUAUAUAGUCCAACUACUAUUCUUUUAAGAUGAUGGAAGUCUUCAUCCUCCUAAGUCGUUUUAAAUGAUAGAAAUUUUGAAUUGAUUAUCAAAAUCGUUAAAGUUAAUCUGAAAUAUUUAAAGUGUUUAGAAAUUAAAUUUUAUAAAAUUUAAAAAUUAUUAUGUAGUAAUUAAAGGAUCACAAAAUCGAUAGUUUUUUAGGCCAAUAUAAGCUGUUUACUUGUUUAACUGUGUAGAACAAUCCAAACAGCUUAAAUUUUUGAUAGAAAAUUUUUAUACUAUUUAGAUAACGCAUGAUAACUCCGAUUAUGAAUUGAAAAUGAUUAACAUCUAUUUUCACAAAAUUAUUUAUUUUUAACCGUUUAUUUUUCAACUUUUCAAUAAACUUUUUUUUUUUUUAUAGAGAUAGGUAGCACGCUAUCCGUUUCGUUUAUUUCAUUUAGAAAUAAACUUAGCUGAAAAUGUGAAUCAACUAGGAUUCGAACUUUUCAAUAAACUUGAUAACGAAUUUUAAAGUAUAUAAAAUUUAGUUUUUAGAUGUAUGUUAUAAAUACUCUACAUUAAUUUUAACUGUUUAGACCAUCGAUUCGUGAUCCCUAUCAUUUAAAACGACUUAGGAGGGCGAAAGCCCCCGUUCUCCUAAAAGGAUAGUAGCUGAACUUAUAUAUAUAUAUAUGUAUCUAUAUAUGUUCAUGAGAUAAGCGCAGGUGCAAGAAAAUAAGAUUUUAAGAGUCAUCCAUGUGAGAAUUUUCACAAUUUUAUAUAUUUAUAGGGGUUAUGAGUGAAGACAUUAUAUCCUAGAAUGAGUGGGUGCAUAUCAUACACCCUAAAAAGAAACGUUUGUGUAGCAGUACUCAAGAGAAAACUAUUUAAUUAUUGGUGGAAUUAUAAAUAAAGGCUUAAUUGAUUACAAUUGUCUGGACGCAAACAUGCAAACAAGAGUACUACUAUAUCUGAAUUCACGUAAAGAUGACUACCCUGACAUUCAUUUUUUGGAGCUCAAAACAAAUCACCUUUCCGUAACAUCAAAAUAAUCCGUAACAACAAAAUCAUCGACUUGCGUUAAACAUAAUUUAUGGUCGAAAGCGAAAGCAAAAGCGAAAGCGAAAGCAGAAGCGGAAGCGGAAGCGGAAGCAGAACAAGAUGGUACCAAAAAGCUGGUGCAGAUAGUGCCCUUAACCCCACAGACACUCCUGGUGACAUUAUGAACAGUAUGAAAUAAAAGUGCCAACUAACCUAGAAUGCCCUGUUACAUCUUAAUCGCGUGUUGGUCCAAUACAUGUAGCCGAACCCAAAUGUAGUGAAUGAUUUUGAUUAAAUUAUGAAACAGUCGCAGCAGCACAUUAAUUAAUUAUAUUUGCCUCCUCUUAGGAGCUGUUUGGUUAGAUGUAAUUAUAAAUACAGUGUAAUUGGAGAUGUAUAUAGUUGAAAAUACAGCAGUUACAACUACUCUGCAUGCAUUAUGUUUGCGGGUUGGAUAUAAUAGAAAACGCUGUAACUAUAAAUAAUUUGUUUGAUUGCAUGCAGUUGAUAAAUAAUUUUUAAAAUUUAUCAUUUUAUAUAUAUAUAUAUAUAUGAUGGUGAGAUUACUUUCAGGGCCCGUUUGGUUCGAGUUAUGUAAUAUUACAAAGUAUCUCGACAUAUCCAGGUAUCUUGGACUUUGGUGUGAGAUUACUACUGAUGCUGCACUAGCGCGUUUGGUUUAAUGCAGUAAUGUAAUACUAGAUUACAGUGUUUAUAGCAUUAAUACGUUUGGUUCAAUUUAUAAAAUUUAGUAAUCUUGACAUAAAAAUAUAGUUUUUUUCAAAAUUGCUCUUGUUGUGGUCAUUUGAAUAUUAUUUUUUUACAAAAAUACAAUUUGCAGUAGUAAAAUAUAAUUUGCAGUAGUAAAUUAAUUUACAAAAAUAUAAUGUGCGAGAGAGAGAAAGGGAUAGAGAUAGAGAGAGAGAGAGACGUGCGAGAGAGAGAGAGAGUGAGAGAAAGCGGCGUGCGAGAGAGAGGGGGGAAGGAGAGAGAGAGAUGAAAAUAAUACUGUUAAUUAGAUUUGGGAUUCCUAGAGAGUAAAAUUGUCAUUUUACGUAAUAUGUAGUAUUAAUGGAUUUCAGUAAUGCAAGAUACAUGACCCCCCGUUAAUAUUUUCCAUGUAAUCAUGUUCGAUUUGUAAUGCUACAUUAACGACUAGAUUACAUAGAUUAACCAAACACAGUUAUCCUAGCUGGAUUGCCUGUAAUCCUGCCAGGAUAACUCGAACCAAACGGUUAUUUUUUGUUUAAAAAAUAUUUAAAGAGGUAAGGUUACAUUUUGUUUAAAGUUAUACUCUCCAACUGCUACAGUUGGACUUCCUCCUGCAGUUUCUACUGUAGUAGUUGGAGUUAAAUAUAUCAAAUCAAACACCGAAUUUGUAUUUGUAUAUAGUUACAACUGCCGUACAGUUACAACUACAUGUAACUAAACAAUCCCUUAGAUCCCUAAUAUUCUAUAUAAAAAUAUCUUGUGAUAUCUCCAUUGCCUCAUCCACUUUAAAGUUAUUUAUGUUACUUUUUAACUAUAGGAAAACCAAAAAAGACAGUAGAAUCUCAAUUUUAGUAGAGUCAAUUGACAUAAGUUGAAAAAAAAAACUAAACUAAUUAAGCACACUAGCUAUAAUAUAUACAGUAUUGAAUUAUUAAUAAUAUUUUAUUAUAUAUAUUUUCAAGAUAUAUAAAGUAUUUACAAGUUAAUUAAAUGAGAUUAGUCGGCGAAAGUUGUAGUAAUGUACAUAAUAAUAAUAAUAUUACUAAUAAAGUAUAUAGUUUUGUAAAAUGUACCUUAAUGAUGUUUACAUUAAGAUGGAGGAUUAUUUUGUAAAACCGCGACCACCCAUCGCAUUACUUGUUGCUAAUUCUUAUCCACUGCACCCAUCCCACCGUCCACAGGCUCCGUACAUCUUUAACAGCAACAUUUGGAACGCAUCCUAUACAACUCGUGCUGUACAAUUUGGUACAACCGUAGACGUAGCUAAUUUUGAUUGGUUCAGAAAAAAAAAUUAAUUAUUUUUUUUUAACUGGAUACAAUUGUGGGUAUUAAGGACUUGUUUAGUACUAGGGAGUCAAAAGAAGUUGGGAUGAAACUGUUUGAAUAUUUGAUUAAUUAAUUUGAGAUUUUAAAUAAUUUAGGAGAGGACACUUUCUUUCAUGUUAAGAUUAGUUAUAUAUUUUUGAAUAAAAAGAUUUGUUUCGUAUUUAAAGAGACACUUUUUAAUCUUUUUGACUUUGCGUAUAUAAGUAUUGAAUUAGACAUAUGAGAUUAUGAGAAUGUGCGAGAGAGAUAAUAAUAACUAAUAUAUUUGAGUAAUAUGAUCUGCUAAUAUACUAUUAAUAUUUCUAAUAUAUUCGAGUAAGAAUCGUGAGUGAUAGAUAUGUUGUGGAGUUAGAAACUUUUUAAAGGUUUAUCGGGCGAAAACUAGUAUGUUUGCAUCUUAGAAAUAACGAGCAAUUAAUAAGAACUAUGCAUAAAGGCUCUCAAAAUGAUUACUAAGGUAUAUUUCUUUUCGAUAAGACUACUCAAAAAUAUAUAUAUAAUUUUAAUUAAAAAUUUAUUGUAAAUAAAAAUAAAAGAAGAAGGUUUAAUUUUAUAUAAUUUCUAUAAAUAUAUCAAAUAGCAGAUAUAUUUCUACAAAGUUCAACUUUUUUUAUUUAUUCAUGUACAAAUUCAGUAAUAUUCAUAUUUAUUUAUCUGAUUUGUUACUAUUAGAAUACUAUUUAUUUUUUAAUAGAGAAUAAGUGAAAUAAUAUUUUUGUCAUCACAAAUAUAUCCCUCCAAAAGUCCAAAUAGAUAGAAUCAUGAAGAAUUACUUUCUUUUUUUUUUUUCUGCCAUCACAAAUAAUAUAAGAGAUAAAAAGGUCGAUUUACUUCAUUCACUAAUCAUGAUUAAAUAUUUUAUUUAUGGUUAACUAUAUUUUUUUCCAACGGAUUCUAACAGCAGGUAUAUAUUUGAAAACGUUAGAAAUUUUGUAGGAAUAAAUAUAAAAAAUUAAACUUUGUAAGAAUAUAUAUACUAUUCAAAAAAAAAUUAAUCCAAGCCGUACGUAAUUAAUCCAAAAAAAGGAAAUAGUGCGUGAGUUGAGGAUGUACGAAUAUCCCACACCCUGGUUGUAGAGAAACCCUACUAAAAUUUAAUAAGGUACCCGGGCCCCACAUGCACAACAAAGUUGAGUUCACAUAAUAAAUAAAUAAAUAAAUAAAAGCUUAAAGCAAAAAUAAAAUUAAAAAAAAGGGAAAAAAGAAAAUCUAAGCACCGCAAUUAAGUUAACCGAGCUUGCUCCCGUCCACUACGGUCGAACACAAACAGCCUCUCCACCCAAUAGGAAACGUCCACGUGGGACUUGUUCUUGUUGGUCACACUUCACAGUGGCAAUUCUGAAAAUCGUUGGAAUAGUAGGGGCAAGUGCGGCGGGGGAUUCCGCCGUAUAAAAAAGGACGGGGAUCGGGCGCCGAGGGGGUACGGCGUAGGGUUCGGUCGUUCCCGAUAAGCUCGGCGAUUGCUCGAAUGGGAACGAACGUCUAGGGCACCCUUUCCCGCCCCCCGUAAGCCCCUGCAAACCGCUCCCGAAACCCUAGCUGCUUCUCGCUCCGAUCGGCCGCGCGAGGUGGGGAACCGGUAAUGGCGGAUUCGCGCGUGAGGGGAUUGGAGGUGAGUUGGGAGGGCUCGAGGCGAGGGAACCGAUCGAGAGUGGUAAUGUAGGUGGAUGAUCUCUUGGUUAUCGGAAGGGAGCUGUAGAUCUAGGUUUUUUUAGAUCGGGAGAGGAGGAAGCUUUGGAUCGGAGGGGGCUGCGAUUGAGGUGAGAUGUUGAUUUGUUUAACAAAGUUGAGAUUUUUUCUUUCUUUUUGUUUUUGGGUGAUGGGGAGCUCGGGAUGUAGGUUUUUCACUUUCUCCGUGCUUCUACGUUUCAGCUGUUUCGAAAAGCUGCUUUGAGACUACGUCCACAGCUUUGUUGCAUAUAGCUUUGAAUCUAAUAAACGCUCUUAUUGAUCCGUGCACUUAAUUAAGCUCCCUCUACAUGUGUUAGCCUUUUGCAGCUGCAGCUGCAGCUGCAGCUUCUGCUCCUGCUUCUGCUUCUGCUUCUGCGGCAGGUGGUGUACAGGUGACAGUGUUGCUGUAGAGAGAGAAAAGAGAGGGGGAGGGAAGGGAACGGCUCAUCUUUACCGGGUGCAGCAGCGUAUGAUGAUAUAGCUGUAGAAAAAAGCUGCGGCUGGGAUCUGACAUUUCCGGCCACAAAAGCCAUCUCGAGCGUCCAAAGGCGCCUCCUUUGGUCUCUCUUUCUCUCUCUGUAAACAGUACUGAGACCUGUGUGUAUCGUCAUCAAUGCAAAAGGACAUCUCCACCGACUCCCAAAAACCCUAGCUGUAAAAAGCAGCCGAGAUAAAGAAAGCUACAGCUAAGUGUCGAGAGAGGGACAGAGAGAGAGAGAGAGAGAGAGAGAUCAUUAUAAAGGAGGUAAGCACGAGCAGAAGCAGAAGCUAAAUCUGGCUCCGGCGAGGUAUGAGAUUGGGCGCAUGGAGGCGGAGGGGACCCCCACCAACGCCACCAAGCGCUCUCGGAUCGCCAAUGGCGGCGGCAAGGAGGAGGACGAGGACCACGGAGUUCGCCGGCGCGGCGGAGGCGGCGGCGCUGCUGCGGCGGCGGCGGCGGCGUGGGCGCACCCGUCGUCGCGGAUCUACCGCGUCUCCCGUUCCACCGGCGGUAAGGACCGGCACAGCAAGGUGUACACCGCGAAGGGCCUCCGCGACCGCCGCGUCCGGCUCUCGGUCCCCACCGCCAUCCAAUUCUACGACCUCCAAGAUCGCCUCGGCUUCGACCAGCCCAGCAAGGCCAUCGAGUGGCUCAUCAAGGCCGCCUCCGCCGCCAUCGACGAGCUCCCUUCUCUCGACGGCUCCUUUCCGGAUCCCCCUCCGCCUCCCCCCCGCCGCUCAAUUCUCCACAAUUCCGUCGCCGUCCCCGCACCAGCGCCGGAGUCCGAGGAGGCCCCCCCGCCGCCGCACCCGCAGUUCUCGAAAUCCGGCUGCAGCAGCACUUCCGAGACCAGCAAAGGCUCCGUGCUUUCGCUGUCGCGCUCCGAGAGCCGGGUCAAGGCGCGGGAGCGAGCUCGCAAGCGCACCGCCAAAGAUAAGGAAGACGAUCCCGAUCCCGAUCCCGAUCAUCAGCACAACGAGACCUCCUUCACUGAGCUUCUCACCAGUGGCAGCGGCGGCGCACCGACGCAUCUAUGGCACUUGCCCGCUGCGACGAAGGCCGAUUACUUCGCCCAAGAAGCUGUAAAGACCCACCAAAUUCUCCCCGCCAUCGCUUCCCAAUCCCAAUCCCAAUCCCAAUCCCAAUCCCCCCACUAUGUAAACAACCACCCCACGUUGCCCUUCGCAAUUACGGCCGCCGCGGCGGUGUCGGACCACCAGGAGAUGCAGCAAUUCUCGUUCUUGCAGGAUCAGGCCGUGGCGGUGGCGGCAGCUGGGGAGAGCCUCGGCUUCUCGAUCACGUCAGGCCUCGCGGGUUUCAGCAGGGGGACCCUUCAGUCCAAUUCAGCACCGUCCCAUCAGCUUCCUCACCACCACCAGAACCUGCAGAGGUUCUCGUCUCCGGUCGACGGCUCCAGCCUGUCCUUCUUCUUCGGCGCCACCACGCAGGCCGGCUCGGCCGAGGGCCAGUUCUCGGCCGGGUUCGACAGCCGCCUGCACCUCUGGGACGGGUACCGGCAUUCCGACUUGAAGGGCAAAGGGAAGAACUGAAAUCCUUGCUGGUAAUUAAGAACCUUUUCUCUCAUUUUCGUUCAGCUUUGCCACCUUCAUAUGUACAAUGCUUGAGUACUUGUGUUAGUUUAGUUAGUCUCCUUCAUUACCAAUUUGUUUAACUUUAAGCACUUGUCUCUCUUUCUCUCUCUCUUUUAAUGAGAUGUUUAAAUAAGUUGUGUGCUUGUUUGUCCUGAGGUUGCCUUUUGUCUUUGAUUGCAUCUUGGACUCUAUUACUACUACUAGCUUGUUCACUUUAUUAUUAAAUUAUUAUAGAGUAGGGGGCAAAAAAGUUGCUAUUAGUUAUUACUACUGUUCACUAACAUUACUACUACCCAUUAGGUGGUGAUUACUGUAGCCCUAUCUCUAUUUUGCUAGCAUUAUCUUAAGUUUGAAUUGUUUCAGGACCUGCUAAAAUUUUGUGAGAGAGAAGGCUAUAAACAGAAAUUAUCUAUCUGUAGAAUGGAGAACUGGAAUAGCUGCAAUAAGGUAUGAUUAUUGGAGAAGAGUAAAUAAUAAUUUUUGCGAAGAUAUGUUAGAAAGGAGGAAGAAUAGGAAGAAAUAGAGAGAUAUGUGUUCAAACCCUCUUUAUUUAUAGAGUUCAUAGAUUCAUUAUGCAUGUUCUCAACUGUCAUAUCUAAAGCAUUUUUCAGGUAGCUAAACUAAUACUUAGUUUCUGUGUUUUUUUUUUUUUUUUUUUUUUUUUCUGUUUCAUGAAUAAAUAGAUAUUGGGCUAAGCAAUUUAUUCAUGAUAAAAUCAGUUCGCCCAAACACAAAAAUGUAUAAAUACUCAAUUCUACUAGUAGUGUACAGGUCUUUUACCCAUUUUUUGAUUUCUUGUAUCAUGAAUAGAUUGCGAGUCAGCUCAACAUUAGCAAACAUCUAGUUAUUAAUGAGUUAGGCAAACAUUUUAUUCCAAGAUUUUCGCCACAUUAGAGGAAAUGUUGCAAAAAGGAGUAGAUUCUGUGCACCUUACAGAUGCUUCAAUUGUAAUACUUCUGAGUAACUGCUAUAUUUUGUUAGAGCUUCUAUAGGAAGACUUUCUUUGUGAUGAAUUAAGUAAAUAAUAAUAAGGGAAAACUUCAAAAACCUCCCCUGUGGUUUCGCACUUUUUCAUUUUAGUACCCUGUGGUUUAAAGUGUAUCAAGUUAGUACCCUGUGGUUUCUCACUUUAUCACUUUAGUACCUUGUGGUUUAAAGUGUAUCAAGUUAGUAUUCUGUGGUUUUAUUUUUAUUUCAAGUUAGUACCCUGUGAUUUUAUUUUUGUAUUAAGUUAGUACCUUGUGGUUUUUAAACCACAGGGUACUAAAGUGAUAAAGUGCGAAACCACAGGGUACUAACUUGAUACACUUUAAACCACAGGGUACUAAAGUAAAAAAGUGCAAAAUCACAUGGUACUAACUUGAUACACUUUAAACCACAGGAUACUAAAGUGAGAAAAAGUGAAACCACAAGGGGGGUAUUUGAAGUUUGCCCUAAUAAUAAAAAGGCAUAGACUGUUGGAAAUUAACCAACUACAUCCAUUUUAUUGAGUGCUUUUUCCGUAGUUACUGCCGAAUAGAAGAUUUGCUGAGAUCACAAUCCUUAGCAACAAAUGGAAAGUUUAAUGACUCGUUGAUGCAUAUCUUGCUUUAAUAUUGGGACACAAAGUAUGUAUUUUGGAGGGCAAAGUCCUUAUUGCUUCAGUUUUCUAGAAUACAAACAAUAUGCACAAUAAAUAAACCGACUGAACUGACUGUAUAUCUUAUGAACUCAAAUGAUCUUUUGUACUUGAAUUAUCUUGCUUACUAAGAUGUGUUGAGUAAAGUGGAGAAGAUCUGCAGGCAUGUCAAAGCACCAAUCAAGUUAGAUUUGGAUGAAAACUUAUUGUGUAAUUUGAUAGAAUUCUUUCUCCUUGAUCGUUUUAUCGCCGUUUACUGUUGGAAGAUUGGGGCCCAAAUUCAACUCAGACUAAAAAAUUGUUAGACGGAUCUGUUCGAAAUUGUUGUAAUUGAGCUAGGAGGUUGGUUAAUAGCUCUCCAUAUAUGUGUGACCUCAAGUUUAGUAACUGUUAAGAGGAAUGCAAAUCAACCCUGAACCUAAACUAACCUCAAACCCACCCUGGUUCUAGUUCACUCUAAAGAUUCUAAUCUAGAUUCUAGUCUUAACCUUAUGCGAUAUUUUUGCAUUUAUCUGGAUUUUGCCACGUAUAUAUAAGUAGCCAAAUGCCUUCAUAUGUUUGAUGUUUCUUUUAGAUGCUUCAGUUCCUUGGGCAUGCUAUUCCAUCCGUAAGUUUUUGUUGAUUUUGAAAAUUCUCAGAUAUUGGAAACCUACUUACGAACUACUCCAGAAUUCGUUUAAAACAUAACUAUCGGUACUCUUUCAUCUCAGCAGUUCGACCAAAUUGUGAAGAGCAAUGCUACUAUGCUUAUAAGCAACUUUUACAAAUGCGCAGAAGUUGUUGGAGUUGAAUGACUGAAUUUCUUCCUCAUUCUGCUUUCAAAUACCUCUCAAUGCAAUGCAGCCACAUAUGCGAGCGAGUUUCCUAGUAAAAGUAUAUAUAUAUUUUUUAAGUAUAGCAUUACUCAUUCUGAGAACAUGAACUUUAUCCUUUCUGCUAAUCUCGUCUGGAGCUCAUUUUUCUGCUGUUUCUUCGAUAACCAUUUCCUCUUGGAAUUGAAUGUAGUGUGCUGUUUUCAAUUGCUAUGGAUGAGGGGGAUUUGUGUUUUGUUACAUCUCACCUUUAGCUGAUCACCUCUCUCUACUGUAAUCUUUCAAGUCAUUUCCCCCUGCUGCUGUACUAAAUACGCACUCGAUUAGUGCAGGGAGUGGAGCUCAAAGUGAAGGUGAAUGCAGGUCCGUCCAGCAUUGGCGGAUUACCUCCCUGUACUUCAAUUUUCACUGGAGUUGUCAUUGCUAUCUUUAAUGCGAAAUUUAUCUUUUUUCUCCUCAUGAAUUGUAUUUAUCAUUCAUGAGUUUUAACUGCUGUAUCGUCGGUGUGUUUCCAGCGAGAAGCAGAUCGGAAUGCGGAAGGUGUUUGUAUAACGGUAGAGAUGGCAUUUGUAUCUGCUGAACCUUUGCUUGUGAUAAUUUUUAGGAGGUAAAAAUUACGUCUUUUUUUUUGGGGGUGUACAUAAAUUAUAAGACUGGUGACAGUCUCCUGGAGCUUUUACGUGCGUAAGUUGGAUUUUUCAGAGAAUAAUGCUACACUUAAAUUAGCAAAUCUUAUCAUCAUUAAUUAAUUAAUUAAUUAAUUAAUUAAUUAAUUAUUAUUAUUAUCAUUGUGAAAAGUGAUUUUACCACACUGUUUUGUAUUAUAGAGCUAAUUUCAGAUUUAUGUUAGUUUUUCAUUUUUCUGACAGAUAAGUUAUGAUUUUGCGAAUUGAAAACUGUUUAGUCUCAGAUUUAUUCACAAUGUCUGAUCACUCUCCUGCCCUUUCCCAGUGCUGUUCCUACCCCCACCUAAUGUUGGGUGAUUCAAUUUACGUGCGAAGAAACAUACCCAAACAAUAGCAUUGAGGUUCUAGCGGCCAGUAAAAAAUAAAAAAAAAAAUAGCAUUUCGAGUGCACCUAUUAAGUUUCAGACAAAUUAACAAUCUACAUAAUGUUCAAUAUCAUACAACAAAGCAAGGAAAUAAUGAAAUUUGGAAAACCUGCCAGCAGGUUUACUAGAUUACAUGCUCUGAAACUCCAGAAUCGAUGUACAAAAAGGUGCUUGCAAUGUAAAAGCAUUUACGGAAGUAGCAAUCUCCGUAAAUGAGAACUGGUGCUACAUACGGGAUGGCUUCCUUGCUCCGUAAAUCACACGAGGCCACCGUAGUUCGAUAUUGACAUGUCGCGGCACUUUCUGCUACAAUAAUGAACCGUCUUGCCUGCGCUUAUGAGGUUUAUUGCCGGAUGCAUUUUUCCAGUGCACCUGCAAAAUAUCCAAUUACCCUGAUGUUAAAAGGAGGGUAAACCACAAUGUCAUCACUCAAUUAUGCUAAUUUAUCAGAAAGGCGAAAAAAAGUAAAACAAAAGAGUGAACAGUGAGGACCAACACAGCAGGAACGUUUGCCAAAGGUCCCAAUUUCGUAGGAAGGCAGUGUAAGUUAUAGACUCUAUUAUUCAUUAUCAUCUUUAUCAUCAUCAUUUUCAGUGAACUCUGUAUAUGUGACGAGGAAAAAGAGUAAGAGUCCCUGAUAUUAUCAUCAAGAGCUCAUUCGCUCCAUCAGAAGCGAAGCAUAGUCCAACUAAAACACAAGCUACUACUAUGCUAGUAUAUUACUCGGGAAACAUAGUUUGAAACGAUAAAAAAAGAAACCUCAUAUCACUAAGGGUGAGAUCAUCAACGCACAACUGGUCGAGAGCAUCAGGAAGGGUGAUCAAUAAACCAAACCAUUUCAAAAUUGAUUAGUUAGAACUUUGUUUGCCGUAUUACAAACUGAAACAUCAGCGAUCUCACCGUUCAAGCCCUUCCCCAAAAAGUACCAACAUGGUUAGAGCAAAACCCAAAGUUCAGCACACUAAACAAUAGGGUAAUUGAUAAAUUCUUACAAUAGAUGGAAAACAAAAUGCCAACCCAUCUUCCUACUAGAUGCAGCAUCAUGCAAGAAAGGAUCGCCGCGGACGAUAAAUAAAUAAUCUACCUCUUACAUGUUUAGGAAAAUCUAGAUGAAGUAACUUAGACUUUCCCUUUUGACAUCAAGCAACAAAUAGCCAAAGCCCAGCAAAGUUCAUUUCCCAAUUAAAUAAUCUACUUCUUACAUGUUUAUGAAAAUCAAUAUGAAGUGACUUAGACUUCCCCUUUUGACAUCAAGCAACAAAUAGCCAAAGCCCAGCAAAGUUCAUUUCCCAAUUAAAUAACAUCCUACAACUACAGAGAACAGAAGCAUUCAAAGAACACCAUCUAGCUGUAAUUGUUUAAGGUCGCAACGCAAUUCAUUUUCAAAUCACCAUCUAGCUCCAUCUAGUGCCGAAUCGUUGGCGCUAACCAUUAAUCCCACAAACAUGAGCAGUUAGAAAUACGCAACCAAUUCACUUAAAACGUACAGAUACAGCACCCACGGAUCUCGAUUGUGAUUUGACCCUACUAGCCUCACGCCAUUUCAAACAUGACUCGGCCCACCUAGCCUCACGUCAUUUCGAAUGAGACUCGGUCCAAUCUAGCCUCCCGUCAUAGGGCAGAAUGCUGGCCCCUUUAAGCCAACACCUAGUGCCGCUAGAUCCCAUAUUAAUCAAAUGCUUCACAUCCUAUGCCCGCUACAUUCCAGUUAUAAUGGCAUUCCUAACCCAAAAUUGGCAAUAAACAGUAAUCAUUAUGUCAAUUUGUUAUCUGUUAAGUUGGAAGUACUCAAUUAAUCCAAGUAAAAUGCGGGACAUACAGCGGUAGGGAUCGAUCCAGGCGCGUCUUUUGGAGAAUCAGAAGGAGUUCAUUUCGAGACAGUAAGUCCGCCUGUUCACCAGCAUCCUCGCGGCCAUCCCAUACGGCUCCUCGAAUGCAUUUGACACCCAGCCGUGCACGUCGGCAGAGCCCAAACCGGCGUUGCCCUUCUCCUCGUUCGGUCGGACGGCCACCAAUGUCGCCCCUUUGAGCACGAGCCCUGCCGGCAGCUCCAGCAGAGGGGCGUACCACAGCAGCAUGCUGAGGGCCGGCACGAGGGUGCGCUGCGAGUUCCCGGGCGCGCACGCCGGCGUCACCCGGAGCUCCUGCAGCUGCCGCGCGUCCAUGGUCAGCUCCCCCUGCCCGUCGGAAUCCGUCAGGUUCAGGCUCUGCAGCGUCGCGUGCUCGGCGAUGAUCGGGUGGAGGAGGUAAUGCCGCGCCGAUGCGGCGAUGAGAGCGCUGAUGGUCCAGACGACGCGGAGCUUCAGUUUUCCGCUGGAGUAGAAGGAAUCCGGGAUGCUGACGCUGCUGUCGUCGUCGGGGAGGGAGGGGUCGUGGGAAUUGGGCCUAGGGUUAGGGUUUGAGGAGUUGGGGGAGACGGAGGAGGCGCAGAGGAUGACGCAGCUGUCGAGGGUGGAGCCGAACCCGGCCUUCCACUUGAUGAGGAGGCCGUCGUCGACGGUGAGCUCCCCCGCGGGGAGCUCGAUCCCGAGGUGGCGGAUCACCUUGAAGCUCUUCAACACCUCCGUGGGGGACCGGUGGGAGACCCCGGACUCGGCAGCGGCGGCGGCGGAGGAAGAGGAGGAGGAGGAGGACCUCCGGUGCCCGGAGGCGGGGGAGAAGAUCUGGCCCAGGGCUUGGAAGGGCUUGACGAGGCCAGCGAAGAAGAAGCGGGAGAGGUGGGAGAGGACGCCGCGGGGCCUGUCGACGACGCGGUCGACGAAGGGGACGAGGAAGCGGAAGCGGCGGGAGACGAGGGAGCAGCGGCCGAGGGCCUUGACGUCGCCGAUCCAGUUGAGGACGACGAGGAUGAUCGCGUCGGGGAGGCGAUCGAAGUGGUCGACCCCCUCCGCCGCCGCGUGAUCGCUCGGCUCACCUCCGCCGCCGCCGCCGCCGCUGCCGCAGGAGGAGGACGACAUCGGGGUCGAGUGGGGGGUAGGAAGCAGCACUAGAGCGCGGCCAUGGAGGAGGUGGGGAUAGGAGGAAAGCGCGAGCGGUCGAAACCCUAAACCUAACCCUAACGAGAAGAGGAAGAAGAAAGGAGAGGGGGAGCGAAUCGCGAAGAGCUGCUACUGCAACACGAUUUUUAAAGCGGAAUGGGUAGUAGUCUCUCUCUCUCUCUCUCUUUCUCUCUCUCUCUCUCUCUCUGUGGGGAUGGUGACGACGAUGACGAGAUAGGACAACAACGAGACGAGUAGUUAUCUCGCUGAACCAUCUUCACCACGUCAUCUGUAAACCGUGAGGAAAAUUUCCUCGACAUCCAAUCUCCAACGGUCAAAAUAUCGGUCCACAGAUGACUUUGUGGACAAAGUCCAGGUACUUACUUACACCGAUACCGCUCUUUAUUUUGGUUUUACUUACUAUUUUUUAUAGUUAAUUUUUAUAUCGUAUUUUUUUAAAUCUAAAUACUAUUACUGUUAAUUUAUUAUUAAUACCAAGAAAAUCAUUUCAUUAAAACAGCAUGUCUUUUUUAUUUAUUUUUUAAAAUUUGUUGAUUUUUCUCCUUCAUGAUCAUUACUUCAAAUUUCAAAAUAGAAGGCUCACAAAAUCGAAGACAUUUGAUUCACUUCAUCACAACGACAUGGUAAAUUUGUAUGCAAAAGAGAUCAUCAGUGCGUUCACUGUUUACAGAUCCAGCGAAACAACAAGGCUUCUGAGCACUCCAGAAAAAUUACAGCAUUAUUUCACCGCGAAUAUCUUUACAUUCUGAUAAUGAACUACUGCAGCUGCUGCAGCUGAAUCCGCGGCGUCAGCGUCGGCGGUGUUCCGAAUGCUUGCUUAUUCCUUGCAAUUUUAAUUAUGCAAUUGCUAUUCUAUGCAAUUUUUCAGAUUGAACAUGAAAGUCAUGCACUAGGACAUGUUCAUAAAUAAAUAGAAAGGAACUUUGUUUUCUGCAGCAUCAGUUCACCUCUGUAUUUUUCCUGCAACAUAAUGUGAUGAUUCCAUUAGUAAGAUUACAUGGUUUCGGGUUUUUUGCGAAAUUAGUCCACCUUUCUUCAGAUGCUGCAUUUUUGUUUUCCUUUUUUUUUUUUCGUUUUGCAACUUUUCGACAGUUUGAUGACUUUUAUGUUCUAAAGUAAUCUUCAGCAUAAGGUUUCAGCUCGAGAAGAUAUUUCGGCCCACUGUGUUGAAAAAGACAAAGAUUGGACUAAUAUAACAAAUGACAAACAAGGUGGACUAAUCUUGCAAACUGGGUAAUGAUAUUUGAGCUAUUUUACCUGCUGUACAAAUUAUAAUCGAAGAAAUUUCAGUGCGGCAAAUUGGAAACACCAUGGUAAGACGCACUCGAUAACAGUAGUUUGAAAAGUAGAUCAAUUGUUACUUCAACAGCCGACGAAAUGACUACGGAUAUAUAUAUGUUAAAUGGAUUCUACAAAUGGAACAGUCGUAAGAAAAAGAGGACGUUGUUUGAAAAGAAACUGCGGUGAGAAAAGAUUGACAAAUCGAUGAACUGAUGUGCCGUAAAUUCAGCAAACAACAAGCUGGAAGAAUGGAGAGGCCAUACAUGAACAUUAAGAGCAACUUCAAUGCCUUGCAACAAAUCAACAAUGCUAGAGAUACGUAUCAUAAGGUUCUCUUCUAACCUUUGAAAGAGGUGGUCUCUUCGUCGAAAGCUGUCUCUGAUGUCGGGGAGGAGGGAAUAUCAGAAGAAGAGGAAACCCGAGCAUCGACCAACAUACUUAUAACUUCCCUCAUGGUCGGCCUGUCGAGUGGUGAUUCGCUGGUGCAGAAAAGUGCGAUUUUUAGAACCAGCGACAUCUCCUCGAUCGUGCUUUUCGAGCUCAAGUCGAGUCGGCUGUCAAAGAUCUCGGAUUGCGGAGCCGCGUUCUGCAUUAAUCUCCGCACCCAGUUGACGAGAUCCCCUCCUUUCUCGAGAGGCUGAAUGGGUGGUUGCCCAGUGACUAGCUCCAGGAGAAUGACGCCAAGGCUAUAUAUGUCGCACUUCUCAGUAACCUUCAUGGUGAAAGCGUACUCUGAAACAUAAUAAGAUGCCGGGUUUUAGAGAGCUAUAAGCUGCUAGCAGCAUAUUAGAGUAUCUACAUCCACCACCAAAUUCUGCUACAUAACAUGAAAUCAUCUAUCACUUAUUCAAGUGGAAGAAUCUUACCUGGGGCAAUAUACCCGUAUGAGCCGGCAACGGCGGACAUGGUCUUUGAGUGCGAGAUAUCAAUCAGUUUCGCCAAGCCAAAGUCCCCGACAUGAGCCUCCAUUGCCUCAUCUAGCAGUAUGUUAUUCGACUUGAUAUCGCGGUGUACAAUCUGCGGCUUGCAAUCGCAGUGAAGAUAUCUCAACCCUUCAGCUGCUCCAAGAGCAAUUCGAUAACGCGCAUCCCAAUCGAGCAUGCAAACCUCCUUAUCCCCGUGAAGAAGCUUCCCGAGACUACCAUUCGCCAUAUACUCGUAAAGGAUAAGAUUCGAAUCCUGGUAGGAGCAGAAACCAUACAGCUUAACGAUAUUUCGGUGCCUAACAUUUCCAAGAGUCGAUAUCUCUGCUCGGAAGCUACUAUCAAUGUUCGAACCCUCUCCUUGAGCCUUGAUCUUCUUGACAGCAAUUAAACUUCCAUCAUACAUAACAGCCUUGUAUACCGUCCCGCAAGCUCCUCUUCCUAUAACAGCGCUUUCGGAGAAAUUACCCGUGGCCUCGAGAAGCUCUUGGUAAGUUAUCUGCUCCUUGAGUAAGUAAUAAGGACCCGAAACAUUUUGUUUACGAUCUUCAUUGGAUGGGAGAUUAGGUGUUCGGCGCUUUAAAGACCAGCAAACUGCGGCAGUUAAGAAUAAGGAAACUAUGCCGACAACAAAAGAAGCAAUACUAACUAUCUUCUCCCUCGAGGCAUCCUUCUUAGCCCAAAUGGCUGGUGAAUUAGACGACGGCAGCGAAAUUGGCUCGCAAGGUUUUGUUCUCAUCCCGCAUAAGCCGAUAUUUCCAAGAAAAUUGCUAUUAUCCAAUUUUUGGAAUAGUGGUAUAUUAGGUAGCGAGCCCAC